rnacentral:lncRNA from 1 species
AAUUUUUACUAAAAUGAAAUAAUUUAUUCAAUUUAUAUACAUAUAUAAGAUAAAUUUUAGAUAUGAUAUAUGUGAUAGCCAAUUUUGGCCCGGUCAAGUAAAAAAAUAAAGAAACCCAAAUAAAAGUCCAAUUUCUUUAGUCCAUUUACAAUAUGUGUGACCUAAAUUACUAAACUCAACAGGCCCAAACCAAAACUCUAUUAGCCUAUUACCAAAACUAACCCUAAUAGCCCACUAUCUUUAUUUUUUUUCAGCAGCCACCAACCCUUCCCCAAGAUGCAGCAGCUGCUCAGCCCCCAUGCGCGCCGCCUCGCCUUUUCACCAGCCAACCACCAGCCUUUCACUCCUCUGACACCUGCAAUCAAAUCCAACACAACAACAGAGAGCAUGCAGAAGAAAUAAAUAGCUAAAGAACAAAAAAACAUAGAACGAACAGUUUGUAAAUUGGCUUUUAAAAGCCAAAAUCUAUACUUGUAAUUUUUUUUUACGAACAUUGGAAAUCAAAAAACACAAAAGGUUGAUAUCUGAUUCUUCUCUCUUUGUUUUUUAUUUUAUUUCGUUUCCUUUUAUUUCUCUAAUAUUUCUUUUGAUUUUAAUACAAAUCUAUUAAAUCAAAGUAGAUAUAAAACAAAUAAUAAGGAAGGGAGAAGGCCUUACCGGAAUCGCUCGUCGUUUCAUCGCCGGAGGGUUCUCCUUCGUCGUCGGGAUCGGGCCGAAUAAGGAAGGGAAGACCUUUACUUUCGCAACUUUUGGGCUGAGAAGGCUCCGCCUUCGGGGACGCCUUGAAACGUGGCUUAAAGCCCGCCCUUGCGCGUCGUCGGCCGUCGUGUUCAGUGGCGGUGCGGCGGUGGGAUGGUGCCUCCCUUGGUCGGCCAAACAAAAGGCUACAAGGGAGGAGAGAAAAGCUGCUGUUUUUUUUUUCUUUUUCUUUUUUUUUAAACCUAGGGCUAAAAUGAAACAAGCACAAAAUUUAGCCUUUUAUCAAGCUACCAAACGACACCAUUUAGAAAGGGGAGGGGUCCGCAUGUCUCCUUUGAAUGGGAAAUUACCCGCUUUGGUCCCUCCCAUUUUUCCUGAUAUUUGAUUUAGUCCCGAUUUCCUUUUUUUUUCUUUUUAAAUCUAGCCCGAUCAUUUUAUUCCCUCUCUGAUUUGGUCCCUGAUCUGGACUAAUGAAACACAGCGUAUAGACUUGGGACAUUACUCAAAUUGGUCCUCGCAAGUCUCGGCGCGUUUCAAUUUAGUCCCUGGUGGCCCCUUUUUUAUUAUUUCAAAUUUAUACCCUGGAAUUUUGAUUUGUUUUCAUCUAUAUCCUAAAUUCAUUUAAUUUAUUCUCUUUACAUCUAUCUUAAUUUGUUUAAUAUACUGUUUGUUCAUAUCAUUAUUGUUUGUUGUAACUCACUUUAAUAUGUUGUUUAUUCUAAUUAUUACUUUAUCUCAACUUACUUUAUGUAUGUAUUAUUUAUUUUAUAAUCCUUACUUAUCAUAUUUGUAUAUAGAUAUAUAUGCCAUCUAUUUCAAGUUUCUGUAUGUGUGCUAUUAUUUCAAAACUGCUUCGCUAUAUACUUAUUUCAAAUUAUAUUACGUUGUUUAUUCUUUAGUUAUUAUGUAUUAUGUAUAUCUAAUAAUUCUUUAUAUAUUAUAUCUAAAUCGUUAUUAUAAAGUAUACUUAUAUUGUCUAUUUUUAAUUCUUUUACGUAUCAUAUAUUUUAAACUUCUUAUUAAUUACUUUUAAAUUAACUUAUAUAUUAUUUAUUUUAAAACUAUUCAUAUAUGUCAUUCUUUAAUUUGCUUUGUGUAUUAUAGAUUUUAAAAUGCUUUAUACAUUAUUUAUUUUAAACUUGUUUUAUGUAUUAUUCAUUUUAAAUUGUUUUAUUGUUUACUUUAAUUUCUUUUCCCUAUAUUAUCAAUUUCAAAUUUUUAUAUGUAUUAUCCAUUUUUAUAUAUACCCUUUUUAAAUGUUUUGUAUGUUACUCAUUUUAAAUUUCUAUCUACAUAAUAUUUAUUUUUGACUUAUUUUUAUUAUUCAUCAUAAACUAUCUUAUAUAUUAUCUAUUUUAUACUGUUUUGGUUUUACAUAUCAUUUUAAAUUAUUAUAUACAUGUUAAUCAUUUUACAUUGCUUUUCAUUUAUUUAUUUUAGACCUUUUUAUAUAUCAUUUUUGAAUUACUUAUUAUUUUAAAUUUAUAUAAUGUUUAUUCUUAAACUGUCUUUUUGUAUAGGGCAUUUAUUUUCAAAUUUUCAUAUGUUUUUAUCUUAAACUCCUUGAACAUUGUUUAUUUUUUUUUAUGCAUAUAUUUAUGAUAAGUUUUUAUGCUAUGUAUAUUAUUUAUUUUGAACUUCUUUUUAUGUAUUAUGAUUUUAAACUUUUCAUUAAUGAUUUUAGAUUUUUUUUAUUUUACUUUAAACUGCCUUUAUAGUAUUUAUUUUAAAAUCCUUAUGUAUAUAUUUUAUAUUUAAGAUUAUCUAUUUGUUUGAUUUAAAUCAUUUUAUAUUAUUAACUCAUUUCUAUGUUUAUUAAGCUUGUUAUUUAAUUGACAUAUGUUAUGUUAUUGCCAUUGUGCGUGUUAUAAUUCGUUUAUUCGUAUUUCCAUUAUUGUCAUUUGCUCGCGUAGUACUUUAUUCAUGUAUCAUCACUCUAUGUCGCAUCAUAUUUUUAUUUCUUAUUAUCGCCUUAUGAAUUAAAUUUCGCUACAUUUAUCUAAUAAAUCGCUUCGUUUUAACCUAAAUAAACAACACAUGUUGCUCGAAUAUUAUAUUCGUUACUAUUCAAAAACAAAAUUUUCCAAAUAAGGCAAUGUUAUGCAUUUUGAAAUAUCGAGGAAUUGUGCCCUAACUUACGGGGUUUCGAUUUUCUCGUUGUUUCUAAAUGGCUAAAUAUCCUUUUCAAGUUUUAAAACACGAAACUCUCAUUUAAAUUAAAAGACGACCUUGUGUUCGGGAAUUCAUGGUAUUGUGUCCUAACUUACGGGAUGUGAUACUCUGAUAUCUCGAGAUAAGGAAAUCUUUAAACAAAUUGUUUUUAGCUAAUUCAAAAAUUUUAAAAUCGAUAUUUAAAGAAAAGAUCGUAUUUUAAAUUCAUUCCCGAUUUUCGAUUUUCGACAUUAAGACACUAACUAAUCAAUUCGGUACCAAUUCUUGGGCGUGUCGAGGGUGCUAAUCCUUCCUCGCACGUAACCGAUCCCCGAACUUGUUCUCUUAAAAUUCGUAGACCGAAACACUGUUUUAGUAAACUAAAAUGUUUUAUUAAAACAAAGGUGAUUCGAUCACACGUAAUAAGGACCGGUGGCGAUUCCCGUUUUAAUUUUCGUUUUCAAAAUCAAGUCGAUUCCCGUUUUUUCAAAAAAAUAGUUUCGACAAUAUAAAUAUAAAUUAAAAAAUUCUAAAUACAAUAUACAAAGAAAAAUAACAUGAAUACAUAAAUUAUUGAGUGUCCUAAUCAAUAUAAAAAAAAUCAUUACGUAUAUAUAAAAUUCUAUAUAUUAAUUUAUAACACUUUAAGAACAAAAAUUAAUACCUAUUAUGAAGAAAUAAAAAAUUCUCUCAAGAUUGAAUCAUUAUUAAAAUUUAUGUAAAAAUAUGGACUGAAAUAAGAUAAGACACAAAUAUAUUGUUAACACACUAAUUUUUAUCUAAAUUAAAUACUUAAAAUAGGCAAUACAAGAAAAAAAAGAAGAAGAGAUGAAUUGAUAUACGGUAUAAACAUAAUAAGAAAAAUUAAUUAAAAUAAAAUACGAAAAAUAACAUGAGCAUGAUACAAAUUAGAGGUGUUCAUGGGCCAGGUUCAACUAAAAAAUUAUGUCCAUUUUUGGCUUGGGUUCAAAAAACGGGCCUAAAAUUUAACCCAAGCCCGACCCGGACAAAAAAAACUAAAACUCGAGCCCAUCCCGGCCCGCCCGUAUUAAUUUUUUUAUAUAUAUUAUAUUAUUUAUAUAUAUAUAGAUAUAUAGAUAUAUAUAUAUAAAAUACAUCAAAAAUACUAAAAACAUCAAAAUAAAUAUUUCCUAAUAAAUUGAAAAUAAAUUUUAAAAAAUAUAUAGACUUAAAUAACACUAAGAUAGAUACAACUUAACAAGAAAGUGCCUCUAAAAUAAUAAUAAAAAUUAACAAAUGCUUUAAAAUAAUAACAAAAUUAACAAUAAAAUAAGUUUUAUAUAAUAUCCAAACAAUAACAACAAAAUAGUAGCAACAUAAUAAUAAAAUGAUAGCAAAAUAGGGAGAAAACAACAAGAAAAUAACAUUAAAAAAUUUAAAAAAAUUACAGAACUUUUUGGCCUUUUUUAAACGGGCUUUAAUUUUUUGUCCAAACACAUAUUUUGAACCUAUGUUUUGCCCAAACCCUCCUACAUUUCGGGCGGGCCUUUGGGCCGGGCAUGAACACCUCUAAUACAAAUGUAAAAAAGCAUUCAAAAAUAUAUAAAAAUAAUUUAUUAAGAUGAAAACUUUGAACAAAAAUAAUAUCACGAAUAUGAACAUACAAAUAAUUCUUUAAAAUUAUGUAUAUCAAAUAUAAUAUGGAAAAAUAAUUAGCAUAAAAAAACUGAAUAGAAUGCAAGUACGAAAGCAUGUCAAAAUCUAUACGAGUAUAUAGUAUUUUGAAUGAAUAAAAAGUGAUAAAUAAAUAAAUAAAAACAUGUAUAUGAAUAUCUAUAAUAAAAGGAAGACUUAGGUCAUUCUUAGAUGACAACAAUCCAUAAUUUUUUUAUUAUAUACAUAUAAGAUAAUAAUUGGAUUUCAAUUUUGAUCUUUUAUUUGUUUUCGAAUUAUAUAAUAAUGAUUAAAUUUCAAUUUUAGUUUCUAUAAUAUAUUCAUAUUUAACAUAUUCAUAUUUGAGACUUAAUAUCUAUAUUUUAGUUUUUGACAUAACUUAAUACCUCAACUUUUAUAAGGUAAUGUCUUUUUUAUAUGACAUGCACCUAAAAUUUUUUUUACAUAAAUUUUAAUUCUGAUCCAUUUACUUCUUUUUCUUUUUUGAGAUUAUAUAACAAUUACCAAAUUUCUGUUUUGGUAUCUACAAUAUGUUCAAAUUUAAUAUUUAAUAUGUAUUCUACAUAAUUUGGUAACUCAACUUUUAUAACGACAUUAGUUUAACUACCUCAAUUUGUAUAACGACAUUAGUCCAAUUACUUUAUUAUAAUUAAAAUGUUAACAUGGAUUUUAAGAAUUGCUAACGUUGUUAAAAUUCUUUGUUAAAUUUAAGUCCAUUACAAAAUCUUUUUUUUUUUGUCAUAUGACUACCAAGUGAACAUUUAAAAAAAAAUUAAAUUGUUACACCAACAAAUUUAACUAAAAAUCUUAACGGUAUUAAUAGUGUUGUCCAUUUAUCAAACUCAUCAGUAUUUAUGGCUUAUGAAAACGAAACCUAAGCCAAAAUCUAAUUCUUACAAAUAAAUCACAUAAUCAUUAAGAAUAAACGACCUCUAUGAGUUAAUUUCUUCUAAGGAUGUUUCAUUAUUUAAAUGUUGUGCAACAUUAUUAGGACCUUCAUUUAUUAUCGGAAUAGCAUUUAUCAUAGAAGUUGAUAAAGGAACAUUUAUAAAUAUAGAAGAUUUUGCUCUAGUUUCUUGUAUACUUAACCACACUUAUUAACUUCAUCAUUUGCAAGGAAUCUAGCAUUACUAAUUUCUAUGGUUCUUAGACGAUGGUUUGAAAUGUGAAACAUAUAUCCUUUAUAUUUCUCUUGAUAAUUGAUAAUAUAUCCACUCAUUGUACGAUAUUAUGCAUCAUCGUUUUUGCUUGAUAACCUUAAAUAUGUAGGUGCCUCAAGUUGGGUUUCCUUCCACUCUACAACUCAAAAUGAGUUCUAUGUACUAUCUUACUAAGAACCUCAUUUAACAUGUAUGUAUGAGUUUUGAGCACAUGCAUUAUUAAGUUCAAGUAUGCAUUUCUAGAACACGAUUUUCUUAUGUGUGCUUAGCAUAGUAUAUUGUAUAGAUAUGUCACAACUUUUAAGGAAUUUUACAUAUGGAUUUGAACAUUCUCUUAAUUAAAUAUCUUUCUCAUAAUAUUCAUCACUUUUAUCUGAUCUUACUAUUUCUACAUUUCUAUCUAAGUGUCUUUCAACCUCAUUAAUGUAUAUUUCAAGAAUAUUUAUUGGUUAAUAUUAUUUAUUAAGUAAAUGAAUAUAAUAAUAUCAUGAAAAAUCAUCAAUAAAUGUGAAAAAUAUUUUCCAUUAAAAUAUGAAACAUCAAAACGUUUAUAUAUAUAUGUAUGUAUAUUAGUGUGUAUCAUUUCAAGAAUACUUUCUUAGUAUGCUUGGUUUACUUUUCUUUAAUACAAUUCAUACAAAUAGUAAGAUCGGUAAAAUUUAUAUUCGGUAAUAUCCAAUUAUUUACCAACCUUUCUAGUCUUAUCUGAAUGCAUGAUCAAUAUGUUUAUGUAACGAAGAAAAUUUUUCAUUUAGUAUACUACGUUUUAAUUCCAACAUUGCUCUGAUCAAUAAGUAAGGAAUCAAUUUUUUUUAAAAUUUCAAUUUAUAUAAACCAUACACACUUCAAUAAACUUUAUGUAUUAUUAAUAUUUUAAGGUUAAAUUUUAUUCUUAGUCUUUAUAUUUUACGAAAGUUUAGAUUUAGUUUAUGUACUUUAAUUUGGUCAUUUUUAGUCAUUUUAUUUUUCAAAUUUUAAAUUUUUAGUCCUCGCCAAACAACAAUUAGUAAAUCCAUUCAAAUAAGUUCUACUAUUUCCUAAAUUUGAUACGAGAAACAUAUAACAAUAUGUGUAAUGACAUGUUAGCUUGUUAUUUUCACAUAUUACUCACUAAAAAAUUUAGUUAAUGGAUUAAUGAUUGCGAUUUGUGUUAUGAUUGAAAUUUCAAAAUUCGCUAAGUAUAAGGACUUAAAAUAAUCCAAUUGAAGAAUAUGAACAAAAUCUACAAUUGUAUGCAUAAUACAUUGUAUAUGUAUUAAUUCGAUUAAUACAAAAUUUGAUUUACCCGUCUCUAUCACUGGAUUAAGGUUACAGGAUAUACAGUACAUAAAAAAAUAAAAUCAUGCUAUAUCAAUUCAAAUAUCUCUAAACGAUCAUGAAUCAUCAAACAUAUAGUCAAAAACAUGUUAUUCAUACAAUAUUGGGGUUAAAUCAAACUUAUGAAAGCUCUAAAAAUAAUUCAGAACAAAACAAGGACUAAUCAAAAAAGUGUGGUAAAAAUGCAAAAUAGGGGUUACAUGGUCAUGUGGCCAGGCUGUGUGACAGGUUGAGGCUGUAUGGGGUUGAAACACACAGUUCUAUAGCCAACCGUGUACAAGAGGUCAAGUCAUGUAAAGUAGAGUCACACGGCGCUGUGAGAGACUAUGGUCGUGUAACAAUUUCACCUACCAUUUCAUUAAGAGCACAUGACCAUGCCAGAUGCCCAUAUAAGGCACACGGCCGUGUGUUAGACCGUUUUCACCUAUGGGUACUCUAUAAUACAAGUUACAAACCACAAUCUCUUAUAUGCCAUAUGUGCACUUUAUACCAUUCCUUAAACAAAAUCAAAAUGCACCAAAACAUAUCAAAAAUAUAAUUUAAAAUAUCAUUCUUAUAUGCCUAACGAAUAUGUCAUUUUGGCACCAUCACAGCCAAAACAUUACCAUUACCAAAAUAUUUAACAAAUAUAAAACUAUCUCGAUUCAAUUAUAACUUUCAACCAAACAUAUAAGCAUGUGAUAUCAUUAUGCAUUUUAUCAUGAAUUAUUAAAAAAACCUUACCUUUUUAACAACCUAAGAUAUGCAUUAACACAUACCUAUUUUGACCAUAUAUGUCUCAAGCAAACUUUUAACUUUAUAACAUAUAAAACCCAUCCAAAACUUAACUUCAUUACACACUUACAUGAUUCAAAGUAUCUCACUUGUCUAAUAAACAACCAUCCAUCCAAACAUUACCAUUUCAUAAUUCCUCAUGCCUCAAAGAAAAUUGUAACACCCCUAACCCAUACCCGCCGCCGGAAUAAGGUUUCGGAGCUUUACCAAAACAUUCAAAACAUUUUUCCAUUUAACUUUGUAAAUUUCUAUUCAUUUACCGAGAUCAUUCAUAACGUCUCUUGAUCAGGUCCUCGAGGCCCAAUACAAGCAUUAGAAUUGAAUCGGGACUUAAUCGGGACCUCUAAGAAAUUUUUGCUAAAUUACAAUUUUUUUCCAAGGUGCAAGGCUCACACACCCGUGUGGUCCAAGGGACACGCCCGUGUGACACUGGGACACGCACGUGCUAGAGGCCAUGUUCGACCCCGUGUAAAUCUCUGACUUGCACACACAGCCAUACCACACGCCCGUGUGCUAGGCCGUGUGGUUAAUUAAUUCAAUUUUAAUUAGGUGCAGGUUUCACACGGCCAAGACACACGCCUGUGUUCCAGGCCGUGUGGUACACACGGUUGAGACACAUGCCUGUGCCUCUGCCCGUGUGCCCAAUUCUGAGCAUUUUGUUUCUCAAAAUUUAGGUACAGGGGACACAUGACCUAACCACAUGCCCAUGUUACCAGGCCGUGUGUCACACAUGAUCUAGACACACGCCCGUGUGUCUGUCCGUGUGGAUAAAAUAAAGUCAUUCCUAGCUCCAUUUUUCACCCAAGGUUUCAUCCAAGACCUGCACUUGAGAUACACAACCAAUAGCAACCAAUUCAAGUAUUUAAAUUAGGCAAAUUCAUCAUUAAACAAGGCAUACCACUACAUGCAUAAAUGAUUAUAAAUUUACCUUGGAUUAACUUAGGCAAUAGCAACCUUUGAUAACAUAUUCAUAACAUAUCACAUAUGAACAUAACAUCAUAAUCUACUUAAUCAUACCAAAAUAAGCCAUUACUAGCCAUCCCAAUGGCUAGGUUACAAAAUAACAUUUUCAAACCACUAUUGGCCAAGUUUCUCUAUACAUGCAUUAUACCAAAAUGAUUUGACUAAAUAUACCCAAAAUGCAAGACGAUAGUGUGACGAUGCUCCAGCGAUCUUCCAACCUUCACGAGCUUCUGAGCACUCUAAAACGGGGGAAAAAUAAAAGGAGUAAGCAUUAUGUGCUUAGUAAGUUCAUAUAACAGAAACUAAACUUACCAAUCUUGUUUAUUAAAAUCUAGGCAUACAAGGUUGUGUUUUCAUCCAUUUGGCUAAAUGGCCUAAUCAUAUACAUUCCAUCAAACAUGUUAGUCACCAAACUAUUCAAAUAAAUCAAGUAACAUAAAUGAGCUCAUCAAGAAAUAUUCUUUCAAGUCAUUAUCAAUUCAUCUCAAAGUUCUUGUGCCAUGUCAAGAGUUAUAUGUCCGUUGAAUCGUUGAAAUUUCGAAGAAGGUUUAAAUAACACACUCGAGGUAUACGAUUUAUUAAUUCGUCAAUUCUUAUCAAGGUUGCCCCUUAGAGUACUUAACCAAAGAUCACACUCACAAGCCACGUGUCGUAUAACAAGAUUACCAGUUCAGGCUAAAUCCUUUAUAUAGCGUAUGCUCGCAAGAGCUCAAUUAGGGUUACCAGUCCAAGUUAACCCUAAUCAUAACAUAUGCUCGAGAGGUAUUAUAUCGAGAUUACCCGUCUGGGCUAAAUCUUUUUUUUUUAUAACAAGGUUAUUGGAAUUACUCGUCUGAGCUAAAUCCCGUCCGCAACAAAUGCAGGACCCUACUUGUUUCGGGAAAGCGCACACAAUAAUCGAAAUUCAACAUCCAAUUGGGACUAACCCUUUAUCACCAUUUCAAGUUUAUUUUCAUUUUUCAUCAUAGCAUACAAGUGAAGCACAUCAACGUAAAUCACAUUACCUACAACACAACAAUUAAUUAACAUAAUUACAUGUCCGAUUAAGUUACACGAACUUAUCUCGACACUUGUUUGCAUAAAAGUCUACUAAUCUGAAAUCUUUUCUUUUCUCGAUCUAACCUCGAAUUAGUGUUGUCCAGAUCUAUAUAAAUGAUUUUAAAAAUUAAUUUCAAACUUAGAUGGACUCAAUUUAUGUCCUAGGAAAAAUUACUAUUUUGUCUCUAACUUUUCCAAAAAUUUUGAUUUUGUCCCUAAGCCCUGAAAAUGAAACUUGUACAAAUUACUCCCUAUUCCAAGCCUAACCAAAGCCCCAUUACAAAUUUUCCAGCACAUGUAUUCAUAAAAUUUCAGAAUUUUUCAUCAAAUUUUACAACUUUUCAUUUUAGUCCCUAAAUUUUGUUUUCAUCAAAAAUUACUUUGUAAAAGUUGUUUAUCUAUCAGUAAUUUUUCAUUUUCUACCAUAAAUUUCUAAUUUCCAACAUAAUACAUCCAUGACCAAUUUUCAUACCUUGAUAAAUUUUCAAAUUAAUCCCUCAAAUAGAGAAAUUAAGCUAUACCAAUUUUAAAAAUACCAAAAUUACUAAAAAUGAGACAGGGAAAAUUACCCAAUUAGGCCUUGAAAGCUUCUUUUCUCUCUCCUAGGGUUUCCAUGUAUUUUUAAGGUUGAAUAUGACAAAAUAAGAUGAUAUAAUUCUUUUCAUCUUUUAAUUAAGUAAUAUUUUGCUAUUUCCAAUUUAGUCCUUACCUUUUUUCUAUAAUUUCAUGGAUGAGUCACCAUAAAAAUCUACAUACUUUUAUUAAUGGUUUAAUUACCAUAUAAGGACCUUAAGUUUUGAAUUCCAUAGCUAUUUGAUCCUUAUAGUUACUAGAAUUCAACUUUUGCAUUUUAUGCGAUUUAGUCCUUCUCAUAAUUAAACACUUAAUCGAUAAAAUUUUCAUAUCAAAAUUUUCACAUGUCAUUUCUAAUUUAUUACGGGCCAUAUGAUAAAAUAAAAAUAAAAUAUAUUUUAGGUCCGAUUUGUGGUCCUGAAACCACUGUUCCUAUUUCACUGAAAAAUGGGUUGUUACAAUAAUCACAUAUCAAAAUAACAUGCUUAAGCCAUUCAUUCAUCAACAUGCCAAAUAACAUUUAUAAACAUAUUUAGAAGGAUCAUUUUAAUCACAUUGCCACAUCCACCACAUAGUUCUAAAAUAACCUAUAUGCAUGCCACAAAAACAAAAUAUAAUGAGUCAAAAUCUUCCAAGACUGAAGCUUGAUAGUGUGAGUCUUAAAGUUGAUCGACUGCCUAGUUCUACAAAACGUCAAAUGAAAAAUAAGAAAUGAAACAAAGUAAGCUUAUAAUAGCUUAGUAACUUCAUAUGAAAUUUCAACUUAAAUGCCUUAUCAUUAUAACAAUUUAGGUAUUUGUACUCAAAAACACGAAAUGACAUAUUCUUGGCAUCCUUACUCAUUCGUGUACAUCUCCACAAAAUAAGCAAUAAGUUAGCAUUUCACGUGAUAAGUUCAUAACAUUUGAAUAUGUAUACCUGUAAAAGUAAACUAUUUUACUCAUUCAUAACAUAAUUACAUUUAUGAACCUUAAAUCAAGCUUACGAUGCUUUAAAAAUAGAUUGGGAACAAUCAAUAACUAAUUUGAAACAAAAUAAAAAACUAUAGAAAAUUUUGAAAACAGGGGUUACACAGCCGUAUAAUAGAGCCCAAGUCGUGUGGCUUAAAAACAUGGUCAUGUGGCCAAAUUGUGUACAAUUUGAAGAAAGGGUCACUAUAACUCUUGAAAAGAGUUAUAUUUCAUGCAUUUAGACCUAGCUAAUUGCUUGUACUUAAGUAACAUUUUGUUGCAUUUUUAGGACAUUUUAGUUAGCAUUUUUAAUAUUGCAUUAGGACUUGGACUGUGGUGGAAUUAAGUGUUUUUAAUUGUUUGUGGUGGAGUUUUUUGUUGGUGUGGUAGGAAUAGGUCUUGGAACGAGGAAAAAAGGGAGUGAAGUUUUGUCAGGGCAAAAUGCAGAUAAUUUGCCAGCACAGAUGCCGUGGCAAUGCCGGGAAGACCAAGUCAACAUUUUUCAUAGGACGUUGUGCUGCCGAAGUGUGGACUGGGCAAGUGAAAGCUGUUUCCCAAAGUUCUUCCAUUAUUUCCUUCAAAAGAUUGAAUUGUAAUAGUUUUUUUUAAAUAGAAUGGUUGGGAUUUUAUUCAAAUAGAAGCCUAUAAAGACAGGCCUAACAAAACAAAACAGAAAUUACAACCUAAUGAAGAGGCUAAACAUAAGGGAAACUAGUUUUGAUAAAAAGAAAAGAAAACUGACAAAACAUUAAAAAAAACAUAAAUGAUCCCAACCACCCAGGCAGAUUGUUCAAUUCCAAAGCAUCUGAAAAGCAAAACCCUUCAGUAGCCUGUCAGAGUAUUAUCCUAUCAAUCCUAUCAAUCUGCUUCAAUAAUAUACUAGAAGGUGUUCUUUCAAAAACCACUACACCUCUUCAGAAUCUUGGCACUUCUUUAUCUAAAAAGACCCAAAAAUUCCUCUUCCAGCUAUUUCCUUCCCCUCUUCUAGAACGAGGAACCGAUAUCAGAUGUGGCUUGUACAAUGUAGUUAUCGUCGAUCUACUUCAACAUCAUCGAGUGCAUAGGCAGGAACAUUGCCCACAAGAUAAGUUGCUUCAUUUCUUGUAAGACCAUCUGUAACCAAAGCAUGGGCGCACCGUUUAUAUGCUUUUGUACAUGGUGGAAAACACAGUUUUGGAAAAUCACACAUGACAUACAAAUAUUAUGAAUAUAUUCUACAAUUACUGACUGUUCCCCUUUAUUUUCUUUCAAAUUAUGAAUCCCAGACAAGCAACCUCCUUCGAAUUCUACAUUCAGAAAACCCAUUUGAGCUCCUGUCAAAACCACUUGAAAGCAAGCCAUCGCUUAUGUUGCAAAUGGUGAAGGUAUGUUGGCAUGCAAAAUAAUUUUUGAAAAAAAAUAUUACCUGUGUCGUUUCUAAUAAUAAUCCCAAAACAGGAUCUAUUAUCUUGCUUGCAAAAUCCUGCAUCAAAAUUUAUUUUGACAAAAGGGUUCUGAGGUGCCUUCCACACACCAAUGAGUAUGAUUCGCUCUGCAAUUUUGCUCUUAUCCCUCAUAUUUUCACCCAAAUACUUCUUGAUGAAAUAUCCUAUCUCCUUUACAGUCGCACUUUUCCCUUCAUAUAGUAAUUUGUUGCGUGCAGUCCAGAUUGCCAACAACCCACAAUAAAACAAUCGACAAAGGUACAAGAAACUAUUUUCAAAAGAAUUGUUUCCCUAUUCUUCCAUUUGAGUCAUAUGCAUCUACGUACAUUGUGUGAACCCUAACUGUUGCCAGUUCUCCUUUAUUUGUAAACACUAUUGAAAAACAUGUUCAACUGUUUGUGGUAGCAUAGGUAGUUCACAGAGUUCAUCAACCUCCUGUAGUAUAGGUUUGCUUAAGUAGGCACAUGGUUGUUCAUAAUCCUUUAUAUUGUAAUUUUUAUUUUGGAAGGUAGAUCAAUAUUCCAGAUCCUUUUGUAUAAGUUGGAGUAGGGGUAGAAAUUUCCAUCAGUAGAAAUUUCAUAAUGGUUAUGUAUCAACCAUUUGUAAGCACUUCGGAUCAUAUAUUCUCCCGUAGCUUCACCACUCUAAGUGCGAAAGGAAUGGCUAAAAUCUGUCGAGCAUCAUCAACAACAAAGGUAGAAUUGAUUAAAUCCUCCUUCCAAUUAUUUGUUUACUGGUCUAUUAAAUCUGUCACUCUUUGAAUAGAAUCAUCUUGUAUGGGAUUUUGAAUUCGUUGAUUUUGAUUUCCAGGUAUCCAAGCAUCUGCCCUCACUAAGACCUCAGUACCCAAACCAAUUCUUCAGCACAUUCCAGCCUCCAAAAUGCCCUUGGUGGCCCAUAUGCUUCUCCAGGUAUAGGAAGGUAGUUGUCCUAAACUUGACUCUAUAAAGCUAGUAUUUGGUAAAUAUUUUUCUUUUAGAGUAUGUGUUAAUAAUGAAUCCGGAUAACUAAGCAACCUUUAUCCUUGUUUGGUAAGCAGGGCUAAAUGAAAUUGAGAUAAAGGGCAAAAACCUAGGCUAUCGUAAAUUUUCAAUUCACAUAAUAUGUUCCAUGUACACCAAUGAAUACCACGUUUAUUACUACUUCAACACCACUAGAUUUGACUAAUAAUGUUUUCUAAUUAAGAACAAAUCACUUUUGGUAAUAAAAAAACAUAACAUAGAAUAGGUAGGCAGAACUUGGAGGACUGAUUUUAUAAAUACCUCUCUUCCUUCUUAUGAGAGAUGUCGAGUACUCCAUUUAGAAAUUUUUGUGCCAUCCUAUCCUUAAGACUCUGAAAAGCUUUUCUUUUACCAUCUUUAACAAUGUUUGGUAGGCCUAGGUACUACUCUGACAAUUGUAGUAGCUAAACGUAAUGUCAGAUAACAUUUUGGUUUGGAAUUUUAAUUCCUAACCUAUGAGCUAAAUGUCAUAGGAUUGGGAUUACUUUUGAUGAAACCUUAACUGUUUCUAUGGAUACAAUAUAUAUCUAUUUCACUUUACUGUUACAUUUGAUUGUUCUUAUUUCUUAAUUAAAAUGCAUAUCUCUAGACAUAGAAGACUGUUCGCAUACUUAUAAACUGAUUCUAAUCCAAAAGGGUUGGAUUGGUUGGAUUAAAAUAGACUGGAAUGAGUAAGUAUUCGAUCGACACUUGUAGUCGAAUCUAGACAUAGAGUCACGACCAUAUAGAAGGAACCCAUGCAAGAUAUCUAAAAAGCUUAUAAAAACGGGCAAGGUAACUUGAGGUUUUGUCCUCAUGAAAGGCAGGCUAUUUUAGAACUGUUCCGUGCAGUAAGUAGAUACGGUUUUGCCAAGGAAUUAUUGAUAGUCAGGGUUGAUUCUGGGUAAUCUUGACCUUCCAAAUCAAUAUCACUUUAUCUUUAAUCUGUUGUAGUAUCUUUACCACAUCAUAUUUAGUUGUUUAUUUCUUUAUUUACAUUCUAUUCGAAUAAUCACUCUUGUUAUUGCCAUGACAUUUCUGGUUUCACUUUUGCCAUAUCAUUUCCAAGUAUUCAUUAAUUCCAUCUAUCGCAUACAUCAUUAUUCCUCUAAUUAUCACUGCAUACUUACCUUAAUUUACCGUAGCAUCUUACUCGUUAGUCUUAUCAUAACAUUUUACCAUCACUUGACCAAUUUUGUGCCUCAAUCUUAUCCUCAUGAAAAUGAUACUCACUCAUCACUUUAUUACUUGAACCAAUGUGUAUACUUGCACAAAUUGCAUAUCAUAUUCACUCGUGAUAGUCACAUAAUUGUGCCGCACCCCUUGUAUUUGCCCGUGUACAAAUUGAAAUAGGGUCACACGGCCAUGUUGUGGGUCGUGUCCCAGACCAUAUGAGUAUUCGAAAUGAGGUCACACGACAGUGUCGCUAGGCCAUGUAACUCUCUGUGACCGUGUGGACAAACUUUCACCUAAAACUAAGAAGCCAUACGGCCCUGUGGGGAGGCCAUGUGUGGCACACAACCAUGUGACAGCCUGUGUCUCAGUCUGUGUGUACCUUAGAUAGCUUCUAAACCAAGCCCAAAACACUACCCAUUUCUUAGGUGCCUAACCGAAACAAAAUCGCAUAUUUACAAGCCUUCAAGACACAUUCAAAGAAACUUAAAAAAUACCAAAACAUUCAAUUAAUGUGUGUAACUAAUGUUCCCUCAUUGACACCGUAAUUCAAUUACCAUAACAAAUUCAUUCAAAGUUUACAAAUUCAUACAUUAAACUUGCUAAACUUUCCAUUCAUUCCUACCAUCCAGUCAUUCACAAGUAGCAUAAUUCAACAAAACAUAAAAGUAUGGAAAUUUACAAGCUAUGAGCCAUGACAUAUAUACAAGUGAACCAAGAAUCUAGUUAAAACUACAUCAUCCAAGUAUAAGGUGUAUCAAAAGUAUUAAGUAUUCAAAAACAUAAACAAGACACCAAUUAAAUGUCAUAUAACCUAAAGAUAAACUUGUCAAAAUCUACCGAUAGAUCUCUAGAUAGUGUGAUCUUUACGUUGAACUGAUCACCCGAUUCCACAAAAUGAUAUCUACAGAGAAACAAAAAACUGACACGAGUAAGCUUCUAUAAGCUUAGUAAGUUCAAUGGUUAAAACAAUAAAACUUAUUGAAUAAACAUAUCAUUCACGCAAUACAGUUAAUAGAUAAUAAUCCUGUCAACCACAACCAUUCAACAGGUGAAUCUUUAUGUUUAUACACAUAUUGUAUAAUAUGAUCAAUUAAACUAGAUCAUUCAAUUCCAACUCAUUUUAUACAUUCAAAAGAUCAUGUAGGCAUUUAUAAGAUUAAAUAACGAAUCAUGUAACCAUUGAAAACAUGCCCGGUGAAUGAUAUAAAUGAAUUUGGAUAUACGGUUAACCAUAUGGUACACACCAAAAUGCUCAAACAAGCCAAACCAACAGAGAACACACCUAGGUACUAGCCCGUAAGCUCACAUCCCUUCGAAACACACUUGGGCGCCAAGUGCAAAGCUUGGAAGCUUUACAUCCACCCCUGGUAACACACCAAAAUGACUGUAACUAUAACAUGAUAGUCUGCAACAAAUGUUGGACUUCGGUAUAUUCAGUGGACAGUAAUUGUAACACCCCUCACCUGUAUCCGAAGCCGAGAUAGGGUUCGAGGCAUUACCAGGAUUUCACGUUCUUAAACAUAUUAAAUCAAGUCACUAAGUUGUGUUCUAAUUUAAAACUUUUCAAAUAUGUAUAUUCUUUCCCUUAAACAGGCCUUAAAACUUGCCUUAAGGUGGUGCGGAAUAAAACCGAGAACGUUUGAUAAACUUGGGGCACCUUGGAAAAUUUCUUUCAACUUAGAGUGUCACACGCCCGUGUGACUUGGGACAUGCCCGUCCAAUCACUCCAUGUCCAAGACUUGAGCAUUCUGUUAAAUUCACACGGCCAAGAUACACGCCCUUGUGUCUAGCCCGUGUUCAUUUAACAGACUUACCAUUUUAGAUGCAGGGGACACACGACCAUGCCACACGCCUACGGGUGUGGCCCGUGUGUCACACAAGCACACGCCCAUGUACCCAACCGUGUAGACCCUAUUAGGCUAUUUUCCAAGCCUAUGGUCACCCCCUUUUAACACUUAUACUUAAUGAAUAUUAAAAACAAAGUAAAACAUAAUUAUGCUCUCAUAAAUGAUCUUUGCAAAAACUCAUUGCAUGGAAACCUCAUAUCAUUGGUUUUGUGCAUGCUAGGUUAUUUCCCAUCUUGUAUUUAUGUGUUGUCAUACCACUUUAAUACAUUCAAGAUUGGCUCGUUCUUAUGACUCAUUGCCAAUUGGAAUUUAACCAUCGCACACGACUAUAAACUUGUACGGAAAUUUCGAAGAUCAUAGCCUACUUCAAGGCAAGCCGAUCUGUAUGGCCAUAAACAAAAAGAUAGAUUUAUCUUUAUAAGCCUUCAUUUGGAAAAUCAAAUGACACAUAUAACAAAAUACUCAAAAGACCUAUACAUGCCAUUGAACUAUUUAGAAAUGUCUUUCUACCAAAGCUAGUCUAUUUGAUAGUAUACUGACUCUCCAACCGUCUUCAAAUAUUUACGAGUUUUUGAGCUUUAUGAGAGACAAGAAAAAGAGAGGGGUAAGCAUUUUUAUGCUUAGCAAGCUCAAAUAACCGGAAAGUUAACUUACUUAGUAAUUAGCAUGCAAUCAAAUUGGGUAAUAAAUUCAAUGAGCAUAGGAUGGCUUCCCUAUCACUUACACUCACUCACUGAGUUAGUCACAUAACAAUGCACUAUGAAAGUUAUCUUAGAUGAGCUCCUCAUUCAACAUCUCAUUUGUAUAUAUAUGUCACAUUAAUCUCGUUGAGUUUCUAGGAAAUCUCGAUAGGAUAUCCAUUUACCGUUAAUUUGUACAAUGAUCGUUUCAAAUAUGCACUCCUGCGAACCUCACAUCUUAUGGCAGGAUUACUAGUCCAGGCUAUAUCCCCCAUUUUAUGAUCUCAUAAGGUGAUGUCAGUAUUACCAGUCCAAGCUAAAUCCCUUACAAUGACAAACACCCUUAUUGAGCUCGGAUCUGAAUUACCAGUCCAAGCUAAAUUCAGAUCCUAAUCGGAUUACCCGUCCGGGCUAAAUCCAUAAUACACACAUAUUCUUCGGGAGGCUCGACCAUUCAAAGGAACACCCGUCCGAGCUAGACCCUUUUAUAAAUGAGAUCAACAGAUUACCCAUCCAAGCUAAAUCCUUACUACAACACAUGCAGGACCUCAUUACAUAUGUCAAUCAUGGUUUAUCUAUCGAAUUCCCUUUUUAACCUCAACCGAGACAUUUAUCACAAUUCAUACUUAAACAUGCAUUCAUAAAUCAUAUAAUUAGGCACCUUGAGUGUUUACUUUAAGUUAUCCGAACUUACCUGGUAUUCGUUUCGGAGUCGUAUUUUGGUUAUUCCGAAACCUUUUGUUUUCCUCUAUCGACCACCGGAAUUUGUUCCUUGGGGUCUAUAACAAUAAAAAUAGAUAAUUAACACUCCACAUUAUAAAUUUUAAGUCUAAAUUCCACCCUCGGUCUAAAUGACCGUUUUCCCCUCAACCUUUCACAUUUUUACGAUUUAGUCCCUAGGCUCGUAUAAUGAAAUGCAUGCAAUUUCUACCUUACUCAAGCCUAGCCGAACACUUUUCCUUCUUAUGGUAGCCUACAUUUUCCAUUAUUUUCACAUUUCUACCACAUAUUUUACAACUUUUGCAAAAAUGUCCCUUUAGGGGUUUUUCAUGAAAAUCACCUAGGAAAAGUUGUUUAACACACAUUCAUCUUUCAUUUCCCUCCAUAAUCCAUCAAAAUACAAGUAACUCAUGCAUGGGGAAAUUUUUAAACAUGAACCCUAGCAUGAAAUAUGGGUAGAAAUGGAGAGAGUAAGCUACCGGGAUCUCAAAAUUACAAAGAACAUUAAAAAUGGGGCUUGGGAGCACUUGCUAAAGAGCUUGAAAAGCUUGGAAACCCUAGCUAUGGUGGCUUAGGAAUUUUGACUGGACAAGGGAGAAGAAUGGCUGAUUUUUUUCUUCUUUUUUCUCAUUUUAUUUCAUUAAUAUGCCAAAUGACCAAAAUGCCCUUUCUUUGAAAUUUCAUCCAUGCAAGCCCAUUUUUGUCCAAAAACUUAGAAAUUAGGAAAAUUGCUCCCCAAGACCUUCUAUUUUAUAAUCUAAAGCAAUUUCAUGCAAAUUGCUUCUAGAAUCCAAGUUUUACAAUUUAUUCAAUUUAGUCCCUAUUUUUCCAAUUGCGCACUUACUCAAAGAAUUUCUUCAUGAAACUUUAACACAUGCAUAUUCUCAUAUUCUAAACCUCGUGAUAAUCAUAAAAUAAAUAUUUUGAUGUCGGAUUUAUGGUCCCGAAACCACUAUUCCUACUAGGCCCUAUUUUGGGAUGUUACAUUUCUCCUCCCCUUAGGGACUUUCGUCCUCGAAAGUCUUACCAAUGAAUAGAUUUGGAUAUUAAAUUCUCAUGGUUUCUUUUGGUUCCCAUGUAGCCUCUUUUACACCAUGACGAUGCCAUAAAACUUUUACUAAGGUCACAUCUUUAUUCCUCAGCUAUUUAACCUCACGAGCCAAUAUCUUAACUGGUUCCUCUCCAUAGGUCAUGUCCGGUCGAAUAUCAAUUUCAGUCGGCGAAAUCAUGUGAGAGUGGUCUGGUCGGUAUCGCCUUAACAUAGAUACAUGGAACACAUCGUGAAUCUUUUUCAAUUCGGGUGGUAAUGCCAAACGAUAGGCUAACGGUCCAACUCUUUCAAUGAUCUCGUACGGUUCGAUGAAUUGCGGACUUAGUUUGCCUUUCCGGCCAAACCUCAACACUUUUUUCCAUGGAUACACUUUCAAGAAUACUCUAUCUCCAACUUGAAACUCAAUUUCCUUUCUUUUUAGAUCAACAUAUGACUUUUGCCUAUCCAAUUCCGCUUUUAAACAGUCUUGUAUCACUUUAACUUUUUCUUCAGUUUCUUUAAUCAAAUCAACUCCUUAAAUCUGAUUUUCAUUAAGUUCUGUCCAGUACAACAGAGUUCGGCACUUCCUGCCAUACAAGGCCUCAUAAGGUGCCAUCUUUAAACUCGUCUGAAAACUGUUGUUGUAGGUGAAUUCUACUAGCGACAAAUAUUUUUCCCAACUACCCUGAAAUUCAAGAAUGCAACAUUGCAACAUAUCCUCAAGAAUCUGAAUCAUCCGCUUAGACUAACCAUCUGUAUGAGGGUGAAAAGCUUAACUUUAGCUUAACUUCGUACCCAAGGCUUCUUGUAAUUUCUUCCAGAAUCUUGAAGUGAACCUCAGGUCUCUAUCGAAAAUAAUCGAAAGUGGUACCCCAUGCAGUCUUACAAUCUCAGAAAUGUACAAGUUGGCCAAUCUAUCGAGAGAGUAAUCUGUCCUCACCGGAAUAAAAUGCGCCUACUUCGUCAACUUAUCUACUACGACCCAUACGGCAUCUUUCUUCUUCGGAGUCAAUGGCAAUCCUGUCACGAAAUCCAUAGUAACUCUGUCCCACUUCCAUUCGGGGACUAUCACAGGUUGUAGCAAACCUAAAGGCACUUGAUGUUCAGCUUUAACUUGCUGACAUACUAGGCAUUUUGACACAAAUUCAGAAAUAUCUCUUUUUAUGUCGUUCUACCAGUACAUUUUCUUCAAAUCGUUGUACAUCUUGGUACUUCUCGGGUGAAUUGACAAGCAACUGUUAUGUGCUUCGUGCAAAAUUUUCUGAAUAAGUUCAUUGUUUUGGGGCACACAAACCCUAUCUCUAAACAUCAAACAUCCAUCAAAACCAAUCCCAAAAUCUGAUUCAAUACUUGACUCACAUUGAAUUCUUUUAGCUUGCAAGUCAUCAUCAUUAGUUUGAGCAUCAUAGAUUUCCUGAAGGAAUGUCGACCUAACCUCUAGCUCAGCCAAGACUGAACCAUCAUCAAGCAAUGUCAAACGAGCAUCCAUGGCUCUUAAUGCAAACAAGGAUUUUUUGCUUAAUGCGUCAGCGACCACAUUCACCUUUCCCGGGUGAUAGUCAAUAAUCAGUUCGUAAUCCUUGAUUAACUCUAGCCACCUCCGUUGCCUCAAAUUUAAUUCUUUUUGAUACAUCAAAUACUUCAAACUCUUAUGGUCAGUGAAUAUGCAGCAAGUCUCACCAUUUAAAUAAUGCCUCUAAAUUUUCAAAGAAAAAAUGAUGGCGGCAAGUUCUAGGUUGUGUGUAGGAUAGUUCUUCUCAUGCGGUUUCAACUAUCGUGAAGCAUAGGCUAUUACCUUGCCAUCUUGCAUAAGUACACCACCCAGUCCAUUUGAGGAUGCAUCACUGUAGAGUACAAAUUCUUUUCCCGACUCAAGCAAUACUAAAACAGGAGCUUCAGUUAACAGUGUCUUUAACUUCUCAAAACUUUGUUGACACUUUUUCGUCCAUUCAAACUUAACGUUUUUCUGUAACAAUCUCGUCAUCGGAGUUGCUAUCAUGGAGAAUCCUUUCGCAAAUCUUCGAUAGUAACCUUUUAAGCCCAAAAAGCUUCUAACCUCGGUUACAUUUUUAGGUGGUUUCCAUUCGACGAUAGCAGAAAUCUUACUUGGAUCGACUUGAAUGCCUUCACCUGAAACAAUAUGAUCCAAAAAUCUAACUUUCUGAAGCCAAAAUUCACUCUUGCUAAACUUAGCAUACAGCUACUUUUCCUGCAAAGUUUGCAACACAAUACUCAAGUGUUUUGCAUGUUCUAACUCAUCCCUGGAAUAAAUCAAGAUGUCGUCAAUGAACACAAUGACAAACUUAUCCAAAUAUGACCGGAAGAUCCUAUUCAUUAGAUCUAUGAAUACGGCCGGUGCAUUCAUUAACCUAAACGGCAUGAUGAGAAAUUCAUAAUGACCGUACCUCGUUCUGAAAGCUGUCUUAGGUACAUCCAAUUCUUUAACUCGCAGCUGAUAAUAGCCAGACCUCAAGUCUAUCUUAGAGAACACGGUGGCUCCUUUCAACUGAUCGAAUAAAUCGUCGAUCCUUGGUAAAGGAUACUUAUUCUUGAUAGUUACCUUGUUUAGUUGGCGGUAAUCUAUACAUAAACUCAUCGAACCAUCUUUCAUCCUUACAAUAGAAUAGGAGCACCCCAAGGUGAAAAGCUCGGCCUUACAAAACCUUUAUCUAUCAGCUCCUGCAACUGUGCUUUCAACUCUCUCAGUUCAGUUGGUGCCAUCCUAUACGGAGCAAUUGAAAUAUGAGCUGUCCCUGGCACCCGCUCAAUACCAAAUUCUAUUUCUCUUUCAAGAGGUAAUCCGGGUAAUUCGUCUGGAAAUACAUCUGGGUACUCACAUACUAUAGGCACAGACUCAAUCUUCAACUUUGUUUCCUUAGUGUUCAAUACAAUUGCAAGGUAAACUUCAUACCCUUUUCUCAUAUAUUGAUAAACCGUAAUUUAUACAUAUUUUUACCCUAUCCUUAACGUAUUUUAUGGAUGAUUUUCCAUUAGAAUUGGUGAAUUCGAUUCUCCUAAUGCUUUAAUUUCAUGUUUUAUACUUAGGAGAGCAUAGGACAGCGAAAGGAACGAGAAACUGGCCAAUAACAAAGAAAAAUGGGCCAAAGUACGAAUUCAACAUGGCCUGGAUCUCCUCACACGGGCAGACCACAUGGCUGUGUCAAUUUGGCAGAUUCGAAGCACGACUUACAUGGGUGUGUCCCUGCCGAGCCCAAGUUGAGUCCAAUUUAGAGAAGGCCAAUUUUGAGGGCUUUUAGGCAUUCUAAAGCCUAUAAAUACACCGUAGAGGAGGAAAGUAAUGGGGCACAGAGGGAGGAAGGAAGGAAUUACUUGAAGGAAGCCGAUUGAUCCAUCUUAGAAGCCAGAUUCAUCAUCAAGACUGAAUAUCUCCUUCAAUUUCCCUUCAAGAGUUUUGGGUUUUCUUUAUGUUUUUUACUCAUUAUUCUUCUGAGAUGUUCCCCUUUUUAGUUAUGAACUAAAUCUCCUAAAUACCUAAGGGGGACGAAACCUAAGACGAAUCUUGUUAUUAAUUUCUGAAUUGUAUGAUAAAUAUUUAACUUGUUCAUAAUUAUGUGUUCUUAAUUCUUGUUUUGAUAUCUCAGGAUACUGAUUCAAGAUAAGCUCUUAUUCAGAGGAGGAAUAGACCCUGUCUAAGAGUACAUUUGUCAUAAUUAAGUGGAGUUGAUUACGCGCUUAGAGAUAGGGUGAUAAGAUUUUUUUGGAUUAGGGUGAAACCUAAUAGGGGGAUCCAUAGAUCGAGUUAAUGCAACCUAGGGCAUUAAUUAAAGAAAACUUUCAAUUAUUCAAUCUAGGGAUUAGACAUUAUUAGUCUUAAUAGGGAUAAUAACAUAACUUAGGGAUCUCUACGGAACAAGUUAAAUGAAUAAAUCGUCCGAUUCGGAGUUAGAAUAACAAGUGAAGUCUAGGUGGAUUUUUCCUUAGGUAUUUUUUUAAUUCAAUCGUUUUCCAAAAGUAAUCCCCCAAUUCUACUUUCUGUAAAUUCUUAGAUUAGUUAAUUAGUUAGUUAAAACAAAACCCCCUUAUUCUUAGGCUAGAUAAUAAAAAGAUAGUCAUUACUAGUACUUUUAGUUCCUUUGGGUUCGACAAUCCGGUCUUGCUAAAACUACACUACUAUUCGAUAGGUACACUUGCCUACAUCGCGAUAAUAGUUAGUUUCAAGAAUGAUUAAUUAUAAAUAUUUAAAACUUACUUGUCACGAAAAUUGCGAUCAUAUAUCUCUGAGCAACCAUUGCCGUGAUCACUACCGGAGGCAUACCCAACUCUCUUGAAUCAACAAGUAGAAUCUCACCAUCCGGGCCUUUCAAUUUAAUAUACUUACUACCACAAAUUUACAGUUACAUUAUGCAGUGCUAACCAAUCCAUGCCAAGUAUUACAUCAAAUUCAUCAAAUGGUAACAACAUAAGAUUAGCCGAAAAACAAUGACCCGGAAUCGUCAAAGGACAAUUCAUACAGAUUUUAUCAACCAUGACUGAUCUACCUAGAGGGUUCGACACUUUAAUAAUAAAUUUCGUAGGCUCAAUAAGUAUGUUCAUUCUAGAUACCAAGCUUAUGCAAAUGUAUGAAUGCGUCGAUCUCGGGUCAAUUAAGGCAAUAACACCUGUAUCAAAUAGAGAAAAAGUACCUGUGAUAACAUCAGGAGUAGAGGCUUCCUCUCGAGCGCGUAUCGCAUACGUUCUUGCUGAGGCUCGAGCCUCUAGUUUUGCAGCAUCUUUAGCUACAACUCGACUGCCACCGGCACUUCCAGGAUAUCUCGGAGGUCUACCUCGUGAAAUGGGAGUACUUGACUUUGGGGCUACUUCCCCUUUUUCCUCGACUCGCUUUGGGCAAUCCCUGAGAAAGUGGUCAAGAGAUCCACAUCUAAAACAUGCACCGCUCUUCACUCGGCAUUCUCCAUAGUGAAAUUUGUUGCAACUCUUACACUUCGGCUUUUGAUCAUCUAAACAUCCAACACUAGUUACCAUCGGGAAGGAAGACUUUUGGCUUCGUCGUUUAAAACCUCUCGCUUUACCCGAAUAUCCUACUAAUGAAAUGGAACAUUCAUGCUGGCUCCUUGAUUUCUUUGUGGGAAACGAAAAUGUUUUACCACUAGACCUCUUGCUCGCGACUCGGGCCUCUCUCUUUGCUUGUUUUCUUUCGUUGGUAAGCUCCUCGGCCUUCUUGGCCUGAUCAGCCAAUGCGGCAAAUUCCCAUAUUUCCAGGAUCCCAAUCAACAACUUAAUUUCCUCAUUCAGACCUUCCUCAAAGUGUUUACACAUUUCUGACUCGAUUUGGACCCAUUCAGUUGCAUACUGACUUAACUCUCGUUCGUAUUCCGCUACAAUCUUAUUCCCUUAUUUGAGUUCCAAGAAUUCCUUUCGCUUCGAGUCUAGAAACCGUUGGCUAAUGUAUUUCUUCCUAAACUCUGUUCGAAAGAAAUCCCAAGUGAUAUUUUCCUUUGGCACUACCGAGGAUACAGUCUUCCACCAAUGAUACAUAGUAACUUUUAGAAGAUACACGGCACAUUUCAAACAUUCCUCAGGUGUGCAUGACAAAUCAUCUAACUCUCAUGUGAUGUUCUCGAGCCAAAACUUAUCUACUACGACCCAUACGACAUCUUUCUUCUUCGGAGUCAAUGGCAAUCCUGUCACGAAAUCCAUAGUAACUCUGUCCCACUUCCAUUCGGGGACUAUCACAGGUUGUAGUAAACCUAAAGGCACUUGAUGUUCAGCUUUAACUUGCUGACAUACUAGGCAUUUUGACACAAAUUCAGAAAUAUCUCUUUUUAUGUCGUUCCACAAGUACAUUUUCUUCAAAUCGUUGUACAGCUUGGUACUUCUCGGGUGAAUUGACAAACGACUGUUAUAUGCUUCUUGCAAAAUUUUCUGAAUAAGUUCAUUGUUUUGGGGCACACAAACCCUAUCUCUAAACAUCAAACAUCCAUCAAAACCAAUCCCAAAAUCUGAUUCAAUACUUGACUCACAUUGAGUUCUUUUAGCUUGCAAGUCAUCAUCAUUAGUUUGAGCAUCAUAGAUUUCCUGAAGGAAUGUCGACCUAACCUCUAGCUCAGCCAAGACUGAACCAUCAUCAAGCAAUGUCAAACGAGCAUCCAUGGCUCUUAAUGAAAACAAGGAUUUUCUACUUAAUGCGUCAGCGACCACAUUCACCUUUCCCGAGUGAUAGUCAAUAAUCAAUUCGUAAUCCUUGAUUAACUCUAGCCACCUCCGUUGCCUCAAAUUUAAUUCUUUUUGAUUCAUCAAAUACUUCAAACUCUUAUGGUCAGUGAAUAUGCAGCAAGUCUCACCAUUUAAAUAAUGCCUCUAAAUUUUCAAAGAAAAAAUGAUGGCGGCAAGUUCUAGGUUGUGUGUAGGAUAGUUCUUCUCAUGCGGUUUCAACUGUCGUGAAGCAUAGGCUAUUACCUUGCCAUCUUGCAUAAGUACACCACCCAGUCCAUUUGAGGAUGCAUCACUAUAGAGUACAAAUUCUUUUCCCGACUCAAGCAAUACUAAAACAAGAGCUUCAGUUAACAGUGUCUUUAACUUCUCAAAACUUUGUUGACACUUUUUCGUCCAUUCAAACUUAACGUUUUUCUGUAACAAUCUCGUCAUCGGAGUUGCUAUCAUGGAGAAUCCUUUCACAAAUCUUCGAUAGUAACCUCUUAAGCCCAAAAAGCUUCUAACCUCGAUUACAUUUUUAGGUGGUUUCCAUUCGACAAUAGCAGAAAUCUUACUUGGAUCGACUUGAAUGCCUUCACCUGAAAUAAUAUGAUCCAAAAAUCUAACUUUCUGAAGCCAAAACUCACUCUUGCUAAACUUAGCAUACAGCUACUUUUCCCGCAAAGUUUGCAACACAAUACUCAAGUGCUUUGCAUGUUCUAACUCAUCCCUGGAAUAAAUCAAGACGUCGUCAAUGAACAUAAUGACAAACUUAUCCAAAUAUGACCGGAAGAUCCUAUUCAUUAGAUCCAUGAAUACGGCCGGUGCAUUCAUUAACCUAAACGGCAUGAUGAGAAAUUCAUAAUGACCGUACCUCGUUCUAAAAGAUGUCUUAGGUACAUCCAAUUCUUUAACUCGCAGCUGAUAAUAGCCAGACCUCAAGUCUAUCUUAGAGAACACGGUGGCUCCUCUCAACUGAUCGAAUAAAUCGUCGAUCCUUGGUAAAGGAUACUUAUUCUUGAUAGUUACCUUGUUCAGUUGGCGGUAAUCUAUUCAUAAACUCAUCGAACCAUCUUUCUUCCUUACAAAUAGAAUAGGAGCACCCCAAGGUGAAAAGCUCGGCCUUACAAAACCUUUAUCCAUCAGCUCCUGCAACUGUGCUUUCAACUCUCUCAGUUCAGUUGGUGCCAUCCUAUACGGAGCAAUUGAAAUAGGAGCUGUCCCUGGCACCAGCUCAAUACCAAAUUUUGUUUCCCUUUCAGGAGGUAAUCCAGGUAAUUCAUCUGGAAAUACAUCUGGGUACUCACAUACUAUAGGCACAAACUCAAUCUUCAACUUUGUUUCCUUAGUGUUCAAGACAAUUGCAAGGUAAACUCCACACCCUUUUCUCAUAUAUUGAUAAACCGUAAUUUAUACAUAUUUUUACCCCAUGCUUAAUGCAUUUUAUGGAUGAUUUUCCAUUAGAAUUGGUGAAUUCGAUGCUCCUAAUGCUUUAAUUUCAUGUUUUAUACUUAGAAGAGCAUAGGACAGUGAAAGGAACGAGAAAAUUGCCAAAAACAGAGAACAAUGGGCCAAAGUACGAAUUCAACACGGCCUGGACCUCCUCACACGGGCAGACCACACGGCUGUGUCAAUUUGGCAGAUUCGAAGCACGACUUACAUGGGCGUGUCCCUGCCGAGCCCAAGUUGAGUCCAAUUUAGAGAAGGCCAAUUUUGAGGGCUUCUAGGCAUUCUAAAGCCUAUAAAUACACCGUAGAGGUGGAAAGUAAUGGGGCACAGAGGGAGGAAGGAAGGAAUUACUUGAAGGAAGCCGAUUGAUCCAUCUUAGAAGCCAGAUUCAUCAUCAAGACUGAAUAUCUCCUUCAAUUUCCCUUCAAGAGUUUUGGGUUUUCUUUAUGUUUUUUACUCAUUAUUCUUCUGAGAUGUUCCCCUUUUUAGUUAUGAACUAAAUCUCCUAAAUACCUAAGGGGGAUGAAACCUAAGACGAAUCUUGUUAUUAAUUUUUGAAUUGUAUGAUAAAUAUUUAACUUGUUCAUAAUUAUGUGUUCUUAAUUCUUGUUUUGAUAUCUCAGGAUACUGAUUCAAGAUAAGCUCUUAUUAAGAGGAGGAAUAGACCCUGUCUAAGAGUACAUUUAUCAUAAUUAAGUGGAGUUGAUUGCGUGCUUAGAGAUAGGGUGACAAGAUUUUUUUGGAUUAGGGUGAAACCUAAUAGGGGGAUCCAUAGAUCGAGUUAAUGCAACCUAGGGCAUUAAUUAGAGAAAACUCUCAAUUAUUCAAUCUAGGGAUUAGACAUUAUUAGUCUUGAAUAGGGAUAAUAACAUCACUUAGGGAUCUCUACGGAACAAGUUAAAUGAAUAAAUCGUCCGAUUCGGAGUUAGAAUAAUAAGUGAAGUCUAGGUGGAUUUUUCCUUAGGUAUUGUCUUAAUUCAAUCGUUUUCCAAAAGUAAUCCCCCAAUUCUACUUUCUGUGAAUUCUUAGAUUAGUUAAUUAGUUAGUUAAAACAAAACCCCCUUAUUCUUAGGCUAGAUAAUAAAAAGACAGUCAUUACUAGUACUUUUAGUUCCUUUGGGUUCGACAAUCCGGUCUUGCUAAAACUACACUACUAUUCGAUAGGUACACUUGCCUACAUCGCGAUAAUAGUUAGUUUCAAGAAUGAUUAAUUAUAAAUAUUUAAAACUUACUUGUCACGAAAAUUGCAAUCAUAUAUCUCUGAGCAACCAUUGCCGUGAUCACUACCGGAGGCAUACCCAACUCUCUUGAAUCAACAAGUAGAAUCUCACCAUUCGGGCCUUUCAAUUUAAUAUACUUACUACCACAAAUUUACAGUUACAUUAUGCAGUGCUAACCAAUCCAUGCCAAGUAUUACAUCAAAUUCAUCAAAUGGUAACAACAUAAGAUUAGCCGAAAAACAAUGACCCGGAAUCGUCAAAGGACAAUUCAUACAGAUUUUAUCAACCAUGACUGAUCUACCUAGAGGGUUCGACACUUUAAUAAUAAAUUUCAUAGGCUCAAUAAGUAUGUUCAUUCUAGAUACCAAGCUUAUGCAAAUGUAUGAAUACGUUAAUCUCGGGUCAAUUAAGGCAAUAACACAUGUAUCAAAUAGAGAAAAAGUACCUGUGAUAACAUCAGAAGUAGAGGCUUCCUCUCGGGCGCGUAUCGCAUACGUUCUUGCCGAGGCUCGAGCCUCUAGUUUUGCAGCAUCUUUAGCUACAACUCGACUGCCACUGGCACUUCCAGGAUAUCUCGGUGGUCUACCUCGUGAAAUGGGAGUACUUGACUUUGGGGCUACUUCCCCUUUUUCCUUGACUCGCUCUGGGCAGUCCCUAAGAAAGUGGUCAAGAGAUCCACAUCUAAAACAUGCACCGUUCUUCACUCGGCAUUCUCCAUAGUGAAAUUUGUUGCAACUCUUACAGUUCGGCUUUUGAUCAUCUACACUUCCCAGACUAGUUACCAUCGGGGAGGAAGACUUUUGGCUUCGUCGUUUAAAGCCUCUCGCUUUACCCGAAUAUCCUACUAAUGAAAUGGAACGUUCAUGCUGGCUCAUUGAUUUCUUUGUGGGAAACGAAAAUGUUUUACCACUAGACCUCUUGCUCGCGACUCGGGCCUCUCUCUUUGCUUGUUUUCUUUCGUUGUUAAGCUCCUCGGCCUUCUUGGCCUGAUCAGCCAAUGCGGCAAAUUCCCAUAUUUCAAACACUCCUCAGGUGUGCAUGACAAAUCAUCUAACUCCCAUUUGAUGUUCUCGAGCCAAAACUCAGCUCUUUCAGUAUCAUCAUCAACUUUAGCUCUAAAUUCCUCAGCCCCAUACUUUCUAAGCUUAUCAACAGGGGCUUUACCAAUUCUUACCGGUGCCAUACCUCGUGGCACAUCCUCAUCAGCUUGGUUAGGGGCCGGGGGAGGUCCUGGUAUGUUGGGGCGAUUCCUCAGGUAAUCCCCAAACCAAUCAUCCAUCAUUUCAAAGAAGACAGCUCGGGUCUCUUCUCGGCCUUCAGACAUAAGCCUUCUACUACUACUAGAUACAGCUCGUUGUACGGAAGUUGGAGCAUGGCUCUCGGCUCCCUCAAACUCAUCUUGUGCUUGAUUGGAAGACAUUUACUAUAUUCAAAACAAUUUAAACAGUUAGGAGACGUCACACUAUCAAUAUUCGAAUAAUGGAAUGUAUAGCAAACCUCAAUACUCUUUACAAUAGUCUUAGAACCGACUAAAUUGUAGCUCUGAUACCACUAAGUGUAACACCCCUCACCCGUAUCUGAAGUCGGGAUAGGGUUUGAGGCGUUACCGGGAUUUCAUAUUCUUAAACAUAUUAAUCCAGUUACUAAGUUGCGCUCUAAUUUAAAACUUUUCAAAUAUGUAUAUUUUUUCCCUUAAACAGGCCUUCGAGACCUAAAACUUUCCUUGAGGCGGUGCGGAACAAAACUGAGAACGUUUGAUACACUUAGGGCACCUUGGAAAAUUUCUUUCAACUUAGAGUGUCACGCCCCCAUGUGACUUGGGACACACCCGUCUAAUCACCCCAUGUCCAAGACUUGAGCAUUCUGUUAAAUUCACACGGCCAAGAUACAUGCCCAUGUGUCUAGCCCGUGUUCAUUUAACAGACUUACCAUUUUAGAUGUAGGGGACACACGACCAUGCCACACACCCACGGGUGUGGCCCGUGUGUCACACAGGCCUAAGCACACGCCCAUGUACCCAACCGUGUAGACCCUAUUAGGCUAUUUUCCAAGCCUAUGGUCACCCCCUUUUAACACUUAUACUUAAUGAAUAUUAAAAACAAAGUAAAACAUAAUUAUGCUCUCAUAAAUGAUCUUUGCAAAAACUCAUUGCAUGGAAAGCUCAUAUCAUUGGUUUCGUGCAUGCUAGGUUAUUUCCCAUCUCGUAUUUAUGUGUUGUCAUACCACUUUAAUACAUUCAAGAUUGGCUCGUUCUUAUGACUCAUUGCCAAUUGGAAUUUAACCAUCGCACAUGACUAUAAACUUGUACAGAAAUUUCGAAGAUCAUAGCCUACUUCAAGGCAAGCCGAUCUGUAUGGCCAUAAACAAAAAGAUAGAUUUAUCUUUGUAAGCCUUCAUUUGGCAAAUCAAAUGACACAUAUAACAAAAUACUCAAAAGACCUAUACAUGCCAUUGAACCAUUUAGAAAUGUCUUUCUACCAAAGCUAGUCUAUUUGAUAGUAUACUGACUCUCCAACCGUCUUCAAAUAUUUACGAGUUUUCGAGCUUUAUGAGAGACAAGAAAAAGAGAGGGGUAAGCAUUUUUAUGCUUAGCAAGCUCAAAUAACCGGAAAGUUAACUUACUUAGUAAUUAGCAUGCAAUCAAAUUGGGUAAUAAAUUCAAUGAGCAUAGGAUGGCUUCCCUCUCACUUACACUCACUCACUGAGUUAGUCACAUAACAAUGCACUAUGAAAGUUAUCUUAGAUGAGCUCAUCAUUCAACAUCUCAUUUGUAUAUAUAUGUCACAUUAAUCUCGUUGAGUUUCUAGGAAAUCUCGAUAGGAUAUCCAUUUACCGUUAAUUCGUACAAUGAUCGUUUCAAAUAUACACUCCUGUGAACCUCACAUCUUAUGGCAGGAUUACUAGUCCAAGCUAAAUCCCUUACAACGACAAACACCCUUAUUGAGCUCGGAUCUGAAUUACCAAUCCAGGCUAAAUUCAGAUCCCAAUUGGAUUACCCGUCCUGGCUAAAUCCAUAAUACACACAUAUUCUUCGGGAGGCUCGACCAUUCAACGGAACACCCGUCGGGGGUAGACCCUUUUAUAAAUGAGAUCAACAGAUUACCCGUCUAGGCUAAAUCCUUACUACAGCACAUACAGGACCUCAUUACAUAUGUCAAUCAAGGUUUAUCCAUCGAAUUCCCUUUUUAACCUCAAACGAGACAUUUAUCACAAUUCAUACUUAAACAUGCAUUCAUAAAUCAUAUAAUUAGGCACCUUGAGUGUUUACUUUAAGUUAUCCGAACUUACCUGGUAUUCAUUUCGGUGUCAUGUUUUGCUUAUUCCGUAACCUUUCAUUUUCCUCGAUCAAUCUCUGAAAUUUAUUCCUCGGGGUCUACAAUAACAAAAAUAGAUCAUUCACACUCCACAUUAUACAUUUCAAGUCUAAAUUCCAUCCUCGGUCCAAAUGAUCGUUUGCCCCUAAGUUUUCACAUUUUUACGAUUUAGUCCUAGGCUCGUAUAAUGAAACGCAUGCAAUUUCUACCGUACUCAAGCCUAGCCGAACACUUUUCCCUUUUAUGGUAGCCCACAUUUUCCAUUAUUUUCACAUUUCUACCACACAUUUUACAACUUUUGCAAAAAGGUCCCUUUAGAGGUUUUUCAUGAAAAUCACCUAGGAAAAGUUGUUUAACACACAUUCAUUUUUCAUUUUCCUCCAUAAUACAUCAAAAUACAAGUAAUUCAUGCGUGGGGAAAUUUUUAAACAUGAACCCUAGCAUGAAAUAUGGGUAGAAAUGGAGAGAGUAAGCUAUCGGGAUCUCAAAAUUUCAAAGAACAUUAAAAAAGGGGCUUGGGAGCACUUACUAAAGAGCUUGAAAAGCUUGGACCCUUAGCUGUGGUGGCGUAGGAAAUUUGGCUGGACAAUGGAGAAGAAUGGCUGAUUUUUCCUUCUUUUUCUCAUUUUAUUUCAUUAAUAUGCCAAAUAACCAAAAUGCCCUUUCUUUGAAAUUUUAUCCAUGCAAGCCCAUUUUUGUCCAAAAACUUAGAAAUUGGGCAAAUUGCUCCCCAAGACCCUCUAUUUUAUAAUCUAAGGCAAUUUCAUGCAAAUUCAUUCUAGAAUCCAAUUUUUUCAAUUUAUUCAAUUAAUCCCUAAUUUUCCAAUUGGGCACUUACUCAAAGAAGUUCUUCAUGAAACUUUAACACAUGCAUAUUCUUAUAUUCUAAACCUUGUGAUAAUCAUAAAAUAAAUAUUUUAAUGUCAGAUUUGUGGUCCCGAAACCGCUAUUCUUACUAGGCCCUAUUUUGGGAUGUUACAGUAAUGAAUCCAUAAUUACCAUUUCAUCAGAAGUCAAACCCGUACCGCACACAUUAAAAACCUAUUAGCAUGCCAAUUGUAUCCUGUCCUAUGUUCAUUUAGGUAAAAAAAAGUCAUCAUUUAACAAUGUUUAAACAAUUACUUACUCAAUUCAUGUGAGUUUAUAAUAAACCAAUUAUACCAAUAUAUUUAACAACUAAUUUCACAAUCAAUAUAACAUAUCAAAUUAUACUAAACUGAACCGAACAAGCUUACCAAUGCUAAAUUGCAGUGACAACAAAAGUUCAGAGACUAAUCAAUAUUUUUUCCUUUUUCUCAGUUAUCUAGUUGUUCUUGAUCAUGCAACUAAUUUAACUUGGUUGAUUCCUUAAUCUCCCUCAACCAUGGAGUUUUUAGUUUUGGAAAAAGAAAACAAAGAAGAUGAUAGGUUCUACCGUUUGUUAUUUGUUUAUUUAUUAUUUAAUUACCUUAUUAACCUUAAAAGUUUUUUCAUAAAAUACCAACCUAAAUCGUCCACUACAAAAAGAUAAGGUUUAAUUACCUUAUAAGACCCUCGCUUCAUGUUUUAAUAUCCAUUUAACACGUAUAACCUAUUAAUGGUUUACUUUUGCAGCUUUUACAAUUUAGUCCUUUUUAAUUAAUUAAGUAUUUUAAACAUCGAAGUUUCUAAACCAAAUUUUAAAACGAUACUAGUGACCUCGUAAAUUGUAACACCCCAAACUCGGCCUAAAUGUUAUGGCCGAAUCAGAGAGUGUUACGAAGAAGGGUUUGGAACAAAUGUUAAUUACUUCUUAAAAAGAGUCCGAGUUCUAAAACAUAUUCAUUACCAAAAUCCUUGUUAGUUUUCUCUUUCACCAAAACAUAAUCUGCAGCGAAAAUCUUAAAAGCCGUUAUAGUUGAAAACUGAAUUUUUGCGUUUUUUAAAAAUCAUUUGUUUGUGUAAAACCAUGAUUUUGUCAAACGUUGCAAUAUAAAAGCCCAAACACAAUCAAAACCAAAAUUAAAACAAAAUAGUCCAAAGUGUCCCAAAAUUACAAAACUGUAAAAAUAGUCCAAAUUUUAAAUAAAAACCGUAAUUGAAAAUAGUUAGCAAACUAGUGGCCACUGUUGAGACUCCGUCGUACCGGCCCGCCUAUGCUUGAGGAUUACCUAAACAGAUUGGACAAAUAGAUAUGAGUUUUCAUAACUCAGUGUGUAACUCACAGAAAUAUACAUGCAUAAAAUUCAGAUUUCCAGUAUUUCAGAAAAAAAGCGAACAUAAGUCCCUAACAGAGUCAAAUCAUAUCAGAAUCAAAUUUUCAGAAAUAUAUAGAUAUAUAGAGUCCUACCCCGUCCUCUAUACACCAUUUCCGUCUAUUCCAACACACCAUGUGGGGUAUAAAGUACCCACCCAUCCUUAUACACCAUAUAGUGUCAACACGACACUUAUCAGAAUAGUAUGCAGACAAGCUGCCAGUAUAUCAGCAACAUGUUGCCUCACAGAACACUUCUUCCACAUAUACAAAGCCCACCUCAUACACAGAUACAUAUAAAAAAUAUAGAUAACAGAUGCAGAUAUUUAGAAUUAACGUGUCUCGCAUGCUCAUAUACAUAUAUCAUACAUGCUUUUACAAAAUAGAUAAAUCAUACAUAUCAAUUUUUGAAUCUCAAAUUAGUCUAUCAGAUUAAAAAGAUAUCAUGUUUUAGGGUUUAUUUACCUUUACUUGCCAUACGAAAGGCCCACAAUCGAUCAAAACGACUUAUACGACCUAGGGAAACUUUUAAAUUAUAGGCCAACACGCCUGUGAUAGCCCACACACCCAACUCAGCCUAUCUCAUGUGGUCGUAUUACCCGUCACAUGACACACGACCGGGCACACGCUCGUGUGGUAUCAACAGGUCACUUUUUAGCUUUCGUCAAAUCGUGAUUUCUUAUGUUUUCGCUAAACAUCUAGCUCGUUUUUUAUGCGAAAGCAAUCCCAAAACCACCAGAACCUAAAAAUGGCAUACCAAACACCUUUUUAGCAAUUUAAUUUACGAAACGACAAUAAUAACCCAAACAAUGCACAUGAACUUAUCGGCAUACCAAACACCCUUUUAGCAAUUUAAUUUACAAAACGACAACAAUAACCCAAACAAUGCACACGAACUUACCGACGAUGAAAAUGACCUCUAACACGAAUCAGGUCGUUGGAGUGCAAUUCACUGCUUCACAGUCUUCUCCUACGCAACACACAUUCACAGAGAUUAAAUCCUCUUACUUCACAUCAUUAAUGAAAUUCAAACAGAAAUAAACAAUUCUAAACAGCUUACAAAAACCUAAACCCACAAACAAGUGGAAACCCUACUUAUCAAAAUCGCAUCAUGAACACCAAAAUUUCUGAAAUCCAAUGAUACAAACAAUAGGUUAUGGACAGGAUUGCAAGAAAAUAAAAAAGAAGAAGAAGAGUUGCAGAGAAGGGAAGAAACUAACGUUAGAAGCAAAGUUUAAGAAGAGAGAGAAAAUAGAAAAUAAAAUAAAAUUUAAGUUCAAAUAAAAUCCCCCAAAAUAAGGAAUGAUCUCAUACUCCAACCAAUCUUAACUACCCACUCACUCAUCAACUAACAUAGACUUUUAACUCUACCGAACCUCUAUCAGACGAUCGCAACAAAAAUAUCAUCCACGCUCACGAGGGGAUUCGAACACGGAACGUUAGGGUAAGCUAACACCUUACCAUUUGAACCAGUAGGCUCAUUCUGAUAUGAGUUUACCAGAAAUAUGAUAUAAGCCCACCAACAGAGAUUAAGCUAGGAUAAAAAAUAAUAAAAUUUACCAAAAGUGGGACUUGAACCCAAGACUUCAAACACAUAUCCAGAACACUUAGCCACUAAAGCAAAUACUCAUUUGUGGAAAAAUUCACAGAAACAAGGUUAAGAUAUUUAGGGCGUUACAUAAAUAUUAAAUAAUUAAUAUUUACGAAUUGACACGUCGAAUUUGUGGUUUCAAAACCACUGUUCCUAAUACCACUGGAAAAUACAUUAUUACAUCAGUAGACCCAUAUCUGAAGAAAGCUUCAAUCCUUCUCCAACACUCACCCGAAUGGUGUCUAUUACAAUACUCAUAAAAUAGAACUCACUCAACCCUGGCAGCUGGCUCAACAUGCUAAGGUCUCGCAACCCUAACCUGUUUCAUAAGCCGCUGAAAAGAACUAGAAGGACUCGAAUCUCUCUUAUUCUUAUUUUGGUUCUUUUCCUUAUCUCUUUUCUCUUGCUCCACGCACUUAAUCUCCUCGGUAAUUUUUGCCUUCUCCACCAAAUUUUCAAAGACUCACCUCCGCUGAAGAGUUACUAAUACUUUAAUAUCGUACUUUAGUCCUUCCCCAAACCAGAUACUCUUAUCAUACUCAGUCCCAACUAAACCUCAAGUAUAUCUGCUCAACCCUAGAAAUUCAGCCUCAUACUCAACCACAUAUCUCUCACCCUGAGUUUGUCCCAUAAACUCACGUCUAACGGCCUCAAUAUAACUCGCCCCCACAUAUUUAUUCUGGAAAGCGCUCCAAAAAUAGGCCCAAGUCACUCACUUAGUUGGGUACCCUCCACAACAUUCAGCAACCAUUAAUAUGUUUCGUUGUGAAGCAAAGAUACCACACCCUUCAGUUUCUGCUUGGGGUUGCAGUCUAAAUCAUUCAUUAUUCUUUCUAUAGCCUCUAACCAGUACUCAGCCAUAAUCGGGGCGAUCCUAACUACACUUCUAAACAGUUCUACUCCACUAGACCAAAGUUGUUCAAUUACCGACCGUUAGCUCCCAAAUCCAGUGUGGGUCCUAAUGACCCUCUUUAACACCUUCAACAUAGCUUCGGAUAAUGUUUCGUCCCCAACAAUUUGAGCCCUAGACCUAGUCUCAACGGUAGGAGUUCCAAUAGUCUCACUUAUUUCUAAAUUGGGCAUACUACUCAUCGAAGAUGGCUCAGCUCGAGCCCCUCGACAGUAACCUUCGCAACCAUGGGUACCACUAUCUUAUCUAUAAUUUUAGAGUUUUAUGAAUUAAUUUAGGUUUAGAAACCUUAAAUCUAAAGUUUUAUCAAAAGUGCUUAGCAGGGUUUAGAGAAUGUUUUAAUUUUCUAGGGUCUAGAGGCAAAUAAUUAUACUAAAGUAGCAAAUAUAAUAGUAUCUAAAGUAUAACUAAAAUUUCAAAGUUUCUUACUAGGAUUGGUGCUGGAGCCUCGGUUUUAUUUUUCAAAAAUCAAAAGGUCAAAUUGAAAUAAAAAUUCCAAAUACUGCAAAUAUAUAUUUUAAACAUAUUUAACCCAAAAUACACAAUCCAAGUUUUGCAACCUGACUCUGAUACCAACAAAUGUAACACCCCAAACCCGGCCUAAACGUUACAGUUAGAUUAUGAAGGUUAUAUUGUCAUGUAAAAUAUUGUUCGUUUAUUUUCGUGAAAACUCGGAUUCAAUUGAGGGUAAAUAAAAUUAAUUUAUUUUACAAAAAUAUAAGUCUCUAGAAAUCCGUUAGAGAGAGCGCUUCGAAGAAAACUUGUCUUAUUAAUUAUUUUUUAAACAACUCUUUUAGCUCUAACUACUCGAUAUUGCAAAACAGCAUUUUAUUAAUUAUGAAACCUUUUGCAACAGAAAAAUAACUUGGGAUUCUUAAUUUUUAAAAUCAUAAUUUUUAUUGGUUACACUAUCUUGUUAGAAAUAUCAAUUAAAGCAUUAUGUUUACAAAGUAAAAAAAAUAAAAAAAAUAUCAAAACAAAUAUCCUAAAAGAAUUUAAAAAGUUUCAAAGUCCAUAAAGUCCAUAUUUAACCCAAAAUAUUCUUAAAAUUGAAAAUGUUUAAAUCAAGCUUCGAAAUCACCACCAAAUACUAAGUUUGAGGAUAACCUGAAACGAAUCAAACAGACGAGAAGUUGGAAGCCCAGUGUUUGUGUAACAGCCCGAUUUUAGCUAAAUCAGAACAGUGGUUUUGGAACCAUAAAUUCGAUGUCAAAAAAUUAUUUUUAAUAUUAUUUUCGAUAUUUACAGCAUGUUAUUUGAUAUGUGUGAAAAUUUCGUGAGCUAAUUUUAUCGAUUGGUUGGUUAAUUUGUGAAAAAAGGACUAAAUCUUGAAAAAAGAAAAAGUUGCAUUCUACUUGUUAAAGGUGUUUAAUUGCUAUGAUUUAUUAAAUUAAAAGUCCUUAUGAUGAUAUUAGACCAUUUCUAGUGUUAAUGGACAAUAAUGACCAUCCAUUAUAUGUUUUUAUAUGUUUAUAACAAAGGUUAUUAUAGUAAAUUGAUAAAUUAAGUUAAUUAAAUUAUAUCAAAGAUGAAAUUGUGCUCAUCUUCUUCCUUGGCAACCAAAAAUAGAAAAAAAGAUAGGGUUUGAAUCUUUUUAAGUUUCGGCACACUCCUAGCUUGAUUAAGAUCAAGAAAGAAAAAAUUCAGACUUAGAUUGGGAGAAAACAAGGUUAUCGAGUAGUCAACCCGAUCCGUCAAUUUCAAAUACGAGGUAAGUUCGUAUGUUAUAAUUUCGUUACAAAUGUAUUUAUAUGCUUUGAUAUAUCAUGAAUUGUGAUUAUGUGAUUACAGACAAGUUUGGAAAUGAUUUGAUGAUGAUUCGACAGUUGGAAUCCCAGUUGAACCUUAGGAAUAGUUUAGGAUGCUAGUGACAUGUCAUUAGGUAUACUUUAAGUUGGCUUUGGGGCAUGUUAUUAGCAUUUCGGAUACGAAAAAUACCAAUUUGGCUUCGAGCCAUGAUAUCAAAAUUUCAGAUAAGUUACUUUGAUUCGGCAUGCCAUGGUAUAGGUACUUAUCGUGAGAGACCUUGAGUAUCCGACUUCUAUUCCGAAUGGUGUAAUGAGUAAAUGAAAGAUGUAGUUGAGUAUGAGAUUGGUACGAGAUGGUACGAGUACUUACGGUAAUGAAUUGAGUGUUGAAACUAUGGAAUUGAUGAGUUCCUUGGUAAGUUAUAUGAAUGACAAUUUGAUAUCUUUAAGAUUUAAUAAAAUUGUUGUAUAUCGUUUUUCUAUUAUUUGAAUGAUGAAUGAAUGGUGAUAGUUGCUUAAUGUUCACAUACGAGCUUCCUAAACUAUGAAGCUUACUUCGUGUUAUUUUUCUAUGUUUUUAUAGUGAAUCAAGACAAGUUCGGAUCCGGGAGUCGUCGGGAACAUCAUCACACUAUCAAACAUCUAAUUUGGUACUUUUGAGUUAUACAUUUAUGGUAUAUGGCAUGUAUAGGCUAGAUGUGGUAUUUUGGUUGUGAUUAUAGCCAUGAGAUUUGGCUUGUAAAUUGUAUAUGUUUUGGUUUGUAUACAUAGCCAUGAGUGAUGGCUUAUUUUGGUAUGUUUGGUAUGAAUGUGGUUAUGGUUUUAUAGUUGCUCAAAUGGUUAAUUGAUUUGUGAAGUAUAAGUGCUUGAGAAAUGCCUUGAUGAUAUAUGAUUUUAUAUGUUGUGUUGGUUAUUUAUAAGAAAGUUAUGUGUGUGUGAAUUGUGGUAAAUGAACUACAUAGAUUGAUAUUGUUUUGGCAUGUAUUUGGCUAAGUAAAUAGUAGUGACUUGAGAUUUGGAAUAGAUGAAAUUAUAAUGGUAUGAAUUGUGCAUUUGGUUGAUGAUUUUGGCUACCUAAUUGUAUGAUGAAAUUGUAUCAAUUUGGUUUUUUAGGUGAGCAUGAAUAAGGGUGGAAAAUUGGCCUUAAAAAUGGCUUAUUUUUGUCCAUAUGGACAGAGACACGGGCGUGUGUCUCGACCGUGUGCAACACAUGGUCAUGUUACACGGUCGUGUGUCUCCUGGUGUUGAUAUUAAAAUGAAAUCAAUAUGCUCCACACAGUCUCACACACGGGCGUGUGACCGGCCGUGUGGUACAAGUCAGUAUAUUCCCUAAUUCGCACACGGCCUAGCACACAGGUGUGUGAUUGGCCAUGUUGCAUAAGUUAGUAUACCCUACUAUUUUGGCACGGGCUAGCAAACGGCCUGGUACACGGGUUAAAUGCAUGGUCGUGUGGUUAACCGUAUGACCCAAGUCAAUAUGUAUGCCCUUCUUCUACACGGCCUGAGACACGGGCGUGUCUGAAGCCGUAUGAGGCACACGGCCUGUUCACACGAGCGUGUGACCCCUGUAUAGUUGAAAUUUUUCUAAGUUUCCAAAAUUUUUAUAUGUUAUCGGUUUAGUCCCAAACCACUUCUAAAGAAUGUUUAAGGCCUCGUAAGCCCUUAUAAGAGACAAUGUGAUUAUGUUAAAUGAUUUAUGAGAAUGAAUGCUUUAUGUUUGAUAAAUGUAUGCUAUAUGUUGUGAAUUGAUCGAAAAUACCUCAUAAUCCUACUCCGGCGACAGAUACGGGUUAGGGUGUUACAUUUUAUUGAUAUUAGAGCUACGGUUUAGUCAAAUCUAGGACUAAAAUAACUUGUGUGAGAGUCUAGCUAUACAUGCCAUAUAUAAACUGUAAUAGUGUGAUGACUCCUGACAUUUUAAAAUGUGUUUUCCAAUAGUAAUAGAUCCCAAUCGAGCUAUAGCCGAUGAGGUUUAGAGUAAUGUGCCUGCUCCCGUGCAAGGGACAACGCCAUCUGAUUCUAGACCUGUGUCGGAUAGCCAGGGAAGAGAGGCUAGAGAAGCCUUCUUCCAAAUGAUGAACGAAUGGUUCACUCAAUACAUUCGUAAGAAAUCGGCUGCUCAGCAACCUCCACCCCCACCUAUUCCUCAAUAAAUCCCUAUUAUUCCUCAAGUUAUAGAUCUGAUACGGUUGAAUAAGCCUCCAGUUGACAAGAUCCGCAAACAUAGGGCUGAAGAGUUCAGAGCUAAUGCUGAUUAUGAUGCUGAGAGAACUGAGUUCUGGCUCAAAAAUAUGAUUCCAGUAUUUGAUCAAUUGUCUUGUACUCCUGAUGAAUAUAUUAAAUGUGUUGUAUAUUUGCUGAGAGACAUCGCGUAUCAAUGGUGGAACAUGGGUUACUUGGGAGUUCUUUCAAUUCAAAUUUCGAAAGAAAUACACCAGUCAAAGAUUUCUCGAUCAAAAGCACAAAAAGUUUCUAGAAUUAAAAUAAGGCCGAAUGACUGUGAUAGAAUAUGAAAGAGAAUUUGUACGGUUGAGCAAGUACGUUAGGGAGUAUGUUUCUAUCGAAGAAAUUAUGUGUAAGCGGUUUGUCGACGAACGAAGAUAUUAAACUUUUGGUCAGGAUAUUAGAUUUAAAAGAAUUGGUUAUGUUAGUUUAUCGAGCUUGUAAAGCCGAAGACUUUAGCCUAGAAAAGAAAAAAGCUGAUUUAGAGGCUAGAGAUUCGAGAAAAAGACCGAUGAAUAAACCUUAUCAUUCUUUAUCAAAGAAAUUAUGAGAUUCAUAUAGCCAAUUGAAUGCAUCUGUGGGGUACCAGAAUAGAGAUCGUGGAUAUCAACAUGUGAAUUCUAAAGCUCAAGCUACUUCUAUUUCGAUUGUUGGUAGUGUAAGAAAUAACAAACCUGAAUAUCAACAGUGCGGGAGAAGACAUUUUGGUGAAUGCUAGAAUAAGAGUACUAAAGCUUGUUUCAAAUGUGGCUUCCUGGAUCAUUUUAUUAAAGACUGUUCUUAGAUGAUUAAGAAAGAUAAACCUCAAAAUGUGAGACCAAGUAAUAUGUCGACUACGGGAAGACCAACAGGAAAUGCUGGAAAUGUGAGUGGUAGUCGAGGGGCGACAAAGGACUCCGCUGUGAGAUCCGAGGCCAAAGCACCUGCUAAAGCCUACGCUAUUGACGCUUGCAAAGAAACGUCAUCUCUAGAUGUUAUCACCAGUACUUUCACACUCUAUGAUACUAAUGUGAUUGCAUUGAUAGAUCCAGGAUUAACUCAUUUUUAUAUAUGUAUGAAUUUAGUAUCUAAUAAGACUUUACUCGUAGAGUCUACUGAAUUUUUUAUUAGAGUAUCGAACCCCUUAGGAAAAUGUGUUUUGGUUGACGAAGUUUGCAAGAAUUGUCCAUUAAUGAAUCGGGAUUUCUAUUUUCUGGCAAAUCUGAUGUUGUUGCCAUUUGAUGAAUUUGAUGUGAUUUUGGGUAUGGAUUGGCUAACGAUGCAUGAUGCUAUAGUGGAUUGUAGACGAAAGAUAAUUGAACUGAAAUGUUAGAAUAAUGAGACUAUUAGAAUUGAAUCCGAUGAUCUGAAUAGUUUACCAGUUGUGAUCUCGUCUAUGUUAGCUCAGAGAUUUGUGAGAAAGGGGUGCGAAGCCUAUCUUGCUUAUGUACUUGAUACAAAAGUGAUAGAAACAAAGAUUGAAUUAGUACCAGUUGUGUGCGAGUAUCCAAAUGUAUUUCCCAAAGAGUUACCAGGUUUACCACCUAUCAAGGAAGUUGAGUUUGGUACUGAAUUAGUACCGGGAACAACACCGAUAUCGAUAGCUCUGUAAAAAAUGGCUCUAACAAAGUUAAAAAAAUUGAAAACUCAGUUGCAAGAAUUGACAGAUAGAGGUUUUUCUAGACCAAGUUUUUCUCCCUGGGGUGCACCGAUGUUAUUUGUGAAAAAGAAAGACGGCACGAUGAGAAUGUGUAUAGACUAUCGACAGCUCAACAAAGUGACGAUCAAGAACAAAUACCCUUUGCCAAGAAUAGAUGAUUUGUUUGAUCAUUUAAAAGGGGCAACAGUGUUUUCAAAAAUUGAUUUGAGAUUGGGUUAUUAUCAAUUGUGAGUUAAAUACUCAGAUGUGCCUAAGAUUGCAUUUAGAACAAGGUACGGAAACUACGAAUUUCUUAUUAUGCCUUUCGGACUAACAAAUGCACCUGCUGUUUUUAUAUGCACUUGAUGAUUCAGAUUUUUCAGCCAUACUUAGACUGAUUCAUAGUUGUGUUUAUUGAUGAUUUUUUUAUUUACCCUCGUGAUGAAUUUGAGCAUGCCGAGUAUUUGAGAAUUGUGUUACAAACUUUGAAGGAUAAAUAGUUGUUUGCAAAGUUCAGCAAAUGUGAGUUUUAGCUACGAGAGGUUGGUUUUCUGGGACAUAUAAUUUCAGCUGCGGGUAUUCGAGUUGACCCGAGCAAAAUUUCUGUGAUUAUGGAUUAGAAUCCUCUAAGAAAUGUAUUCGAAGUUCGUAGUUUUCUACGACUAGCCAGUUAUUAUAGACGAUUUGUGAAAGGCUUCUCAAUAAUUGCGACUCCGAUGGCAAGAUUGCUUCAAAAAGAUGUUAAAUUUGAGUGACUAGAAAAGUGUCAGUAGAGCAUCGAGCAGUUGAAAGCAUUAUUAACAGAGGCAUCAGUGUUAGUUCAGCCUGAGUCGAGUAAAGAAUUUGUAGUUUUCAGUGAUGCAUCGUUAAAUGGUCUGGGUUGUGUUUUGAUGCAAGAAGGCAAAGUUGUAGUUUAUGCCUCGAAACAGUUGAAGACGCACGAAAAGAAUUAUCCGACACACGAUCUAGAUUUAAUCGCGAUAUUGUUUCCAUUGAAAAUUUGGCGUCAUUAAAUGCCAUAUUUAUACCGACCACAAAAGCUUGAAAUAUCUAAUGACUCAUAAAGAUUUGAAUUUGCAGCAACGGAGAUGGUUAGAAUUGCUAAAAGACUAUGAAUUAGUGAUUGAUUAUCAUCCGGGGAAAGCGAACCUAGUUGCUGAUGCUUUGAGUCGAAAGUCCUUAUUUGCUUUAUGUGCUUUGAACACACAAUUAGUUUUGUCUGACGAUGGUUCGAUAGUAGCCGAGUUAAAAGCGAGACCGUUAUUUCUACAGCAGAUUUGAGAGGCUCAAAAUUUUGAUAAUGAAUUACAAGCAAAACGAGCUCAGUAUGAGUCCACUUCUGAUUCAGAGUUUCUAUUAGGGCCUGAUGGUUGUUUGAUAUUUCGUGAUAGAAUAUGUGUACCAAGAAAUUCUGAGCUUAUUCGGAAGAUUCUAAACAAAUCACAUAGUAGUUGUUUAUCAGUACAUCCAGGAAGCACGAAAAUGUACAACGAUUUGAAAUAGUUUUAUUGGUGGCACAGCAUGAAAUGAGAUAUCUCCGAAUUUGUUUCAAAAUAUUUGAUUUGUUAGAAAGUCAAAGAUGAGCAUCAAGUGUCAUCAGGUUUAUUACAGCAUAUUAUAAUUCUUGAGUGGAAGUGGGAUAGAGUAACAAUGGAUUUCGUAUCGGGUUAGCCCUUAUCUCUGAAAAAGAAAGAUGCAAUCUAGGUUGUUGUUGACAGAUUGACGAAAUCAGCUCAUUUCAUUCUGAUACGUAUAGAUUUCUCACUUGAUAAAUUAGUUGAGUUGUAUAUUUCUGAAAUUGUGAGAUUACAUGGUGUUCCUCUAUCUAUUGUUUCGGAUAGAGAUCCAAGAUUUACUUCAUGAUUUUGGAAGAAAUUGUAAGAAGCUUUGGGUUCAAAGUAGCAUUUUAGUACUGCAUUUCAUCCGCAAAUGGAUCGUCAAUCCGAACAAGUCAUUCAGAUACUUGAGGAUAUGUUACGUUGUUGCAUUCUUGAGUUUGAAGGUAGCUAGGAGAAAUAUCAAUCGCUGAUUGAAUUUGUUUACAAUAAUAGCUUCCAACCGAUUAUAAAGAUGGCACCGUACGAAGCUCUAUACGGUCGUAAAUGUCAAACACUGUUGUACUAGAGUGAGCUCAGUGAAAAUAAGAUUCACGGGGUUGAUCUAUCAGAUAGACUAAAGAAAGAGUGAAAGUAAUUCAUGAUAGUUUGAAAGUAGCUUCGGAUCGAUAGAAAUCAUACGCAGACUUGAAUGGAAAGAUAUUGAGUUCUAAAUCGGGGAUAAAGUUUUUUUGAAAGUGUCGCUGUGGAAAAAGAUAUCGCGGUUUAGUCAAAAAGGGAAAUUGAGUCCACAAUUUAUCGGACCGUAUGAGAUUACUGAGCGAGUUGGGCCAAUGGCAUAUCGGUUGUCCUUACCGUCUUAGUUAGAAAAGAUACAUAAUGUGUUUCAUGUAUCGAUGCUACGAAGAUAUCGUUCAAACCCUUCACACAUUAUUCUCCAACUAAAGUUGAGAUAUAGUUAGAUUUAUCAUACAGUGAAGAACCGAUUCGAAUUUUAGCUAGUGAGAUCAAAAAGCUGAGAAAUAAGAGAAUCGCAUUAGUGAAAGUAUUAUGGCAUCGACACGGGUUUGAAGAAGCUACAUGGAAACCCGAGGAUGCUAUGAGAAAACAAUACUUGAACCUAUUCACAAGUAAAAUUUUUGAUGACGAAAAUCCCUAAGGGGGGAGAGUUGUAACAGCUCAGUUUUAGCUAAAUCAGAAUAGUGGUUUCAGAACCACAAAUCCAAUGUCAGAAAAUUAUUUUUAAAAUUAUUUUCGAUAUUUGCAGCAUGUUAUUUGAUAUGUGUGAAAAUUUCGUGAGCUAGUUUUAUCGAUUGGCUGGUUAAUUUGUACAAAACGACUAAAUCGCAUAAAAUGUAAAAGUUGCAUUCUACUUGUUAAAGGUGUUUAAUUACUAUGAUUUAUUAAAUUAAAAGUCUUUAUGAUGAUAUUAGACCAUUGGUAGUGUUAAUGGACAAUUAUGACCAUCCAUUAUAUGUUUUUAUAUGUUUACAACAAAGGUUAUUAUAGUAAAUUGAUAAAUUAAGUUAAUUAAAUUAUAUCAAUAGAUGAAAUUGUUUCAUAUUCUUCCUUGGCAACCAAAAAUAGAAAAAAAAAGAUAGGGUUUGAAGCUUUUUAAGUUUACUCCUAGCUUAAUUAACAUCAAGAAAGAAAGAAUUCGGAUUUAGAUCGGGGGAAAAACAAGGUUAUCGAGUAGUCGACUCGAUCCAUCAACUUUGAAUACGAGGUAAGUUCAUAUGUUGUAAUUGCAUUACAAAUGUAUUUAUAUGCUUUGAUAUAGCAUGAAUUGUGAUUAUGUGAUUAUAGAUAAGUUCGAAAAUGAUUUGACAAUGAUUCGACAAUUGGAAUCCUGGUUGAACCUUAGGAAUAGUUUAGAAAACUAGUGACAUGUCAUUAGGUAUACUUUGAGUAAGCUUCGGGUCAUGUUAUUAGCACUUCGGGUACGAGAAAUAUCGACUUGGCUUCCGGCCAUGCAUAUCAGCUGAUUUGACUUCGGGCUAUGACAUUAAAAUUUCGGAUAAUUUACCUUGAUUUGGCUUAGGGCCAUGGUAUAGGUACUUAUCGUAAGAGACCUUGAGUAUCCGACUUCUAUUCUGAAUGGUUCAAUGGGUAAAUGAAAGAUGUGGUUGAGUAUGAGAUUGGUACGAGAUGGUACAGGUACGUACGGUAAUGAAUUGAGUAUUGAAACUAUGGAAUUGAUGAGUUCCUUGGUAAGUUAUGUGAAUGACAAUUUGAUAUCUUUAAGAUUUAAUAGAAUUAUUGUAUAUCGUUAUUCUAUUAUUUGAAUGAUGAAUGAAUGAUGAAUGAAUGGUGAUAGUUGCUUAAUAUUCACAUACGAGUUUACUAAGCUAUGAAGCUUACUUCGUGUUAUUUUUCUAUGUUUUUAUAGUGAAUCAAGGAAAGCUCAGAUUUGGGAGUCGUCGGGAACAUCAUCACACUAUCAAACAUCUAAUUUGGUACUUUUGAGUUAUACAUUUAUGUUAUAUGGCAUGUAUAGGCUAGAUGUAGUAUUUUGGUUGUGAUUAUAGCCAUGAGAUUUGGCUUGUAAAUUAUAUAUGUUUUGGUUUGUAUACAUAGCCAUGAUUGAUGGCUUAUUUUGGUAUGUUUGGUAUGAAUGUGGUUAUGGUUUUAUAGUUUUUCAAAUGGUUAAUUAAUUUGUGGAGUAUAAAUGCUUUAGAAAUGCCUUGAUGAGGUAUGAUUUUAGAUGUUGUAUUGGUUAUUUAUAAGGAAGUUAUGUGUGUGUGAAUUGUGGUAAAUGAACUAUAUAGAUUGAUAUUGUUUUGGCAUGUAUUUUACUAAGUAAAUGGUAGUGAUUUGGGAUUUGGAAUAGAUGAAAUUAUAAUGGUAUGAAUAGUGCAUUUGGUUGAUGAUUUUGGCUGCCUAAUUGUAUGAUGAAAUGGUAUCAUUUUGGUUGUUUAGGUGAGCAUGAAUAAGGGUGGCAAAUUGGCCUUACAAAUGGCCUAUUUUUGUCCACACGGCAAAGACACAGGUGUGUGUCUCGACUGUGUGCGACACAUGGUCAUGUUACACGACUAUGUGUCCCUGGUGUUGAUAUUAAAAUGAAGUCAGUAUGCUCCAUACGGUCUCACACACGGGUGUGUGACCAACCAUGUGGUACAAGUCAGUAUACUCCUUAAUUGGCACACGGCCUAGCACACGGGCUUGUGACUUGGCCAUGUUGCAUAAGUCCGUAUACCCUAUAGUUUUGACACAGGCUAGCACAUGGCCUGGAACACGGGCGUGUGUGGCCAUUUCAAAAGGCACACGGGCUAAAUGCACGGGCGUGUGGUUGGCUGUGUGACCCAAGUCAGUAUGUAUGCCCUGUUUCCACAUGGCCUGAGACACGGGCAUGCCUAAAUCCGUGUGAGGCACACGGCCUGUUCACACGGGCAUGUGACCCCUGUAUGGUUGAAAUUUUUCUAAGUUUCCAAAAUUUUUAUAUGUUAUUGGUAUAGUCCCAAACCACUUCUAAAGCAUGUUUAAGGCCUCGUAGACCAUAAGGGACAAUGUGAUUGUGUUAAAUGAUAUAUGAGAAUGAAUAUUUUAUGUUUGAUAAAUGUAUGCUAUAUGUUGUGAAUUGAUUCGUAAUACCUCGUAACCCUACUCCGACGACGGAUACAAGUUAGGGUUGUUACAGUUUGACUUGGUCCACAUACAUAAUUUUAAUUAUAAUACACAUAUACAAAUAUCAUAACAGAAUAGAUCCUACCCCCAUCCACUACAUAUCAUCUCCGACCAACAAUCACACUAAUUAGUACUACAUGAGUCCAUCCAUCCAAUCACACCGGUAAAUGGUGUUAUACCACUCAUAAAUAUGUAGUUGAGCUGCCAGACAGAUAUUGCGGUUUAACUGCUAGAAUUUGCAGUAAUACUACCAGAAUACACUUCCUCCAUUACAUAUCAAAACCUACCCUGAUGCACAUGCAUAAUCAAACCAACAUAUAUUCAUAUCACAUGUAAUGUAUAGCAUACAUACUUAAACAUAUAGAUCAUAUUAUAUCAUAUUACUUAUUCAAAAUUAAUCCUACUUAUCAUGCCUUAUAAGCAUACUCGUACAUAACAUACCGAAUUUACGCUUUUAAACCCCUACAAUAGGAUUCCCAUCAUUUCGUUGUAAAAUUUUGAACUAACAAUAGGAUUCCCAUGUAUGGAUCUUGUUCAUAAGCAUAAUUCUAGGAAACAAUCCAAGAAAUACACAAAUUUGAAAAGAAAUAGAUUGUUUUGUAUAUGUGUUUUUGGUCUAAUUUUGGAUGGAAUUUAUCAAAGAACUUGGCCCAUAAAUUUGGGGUUUUUGCUAGUAGGAUAUCAAAAGAAGAUGGUUCAUAUAAGUUCAAUCAUGCUUGAAUCCAAUUUUGAAACUUGAAUUGGGUGUCAUACUUGAAAUAUAUAAGCCAAUAAUGUCCCAUAUGUUGAUUGUUGAUAAGAAAGGUGUUGUACCAGGUUGUUUCAUUGUCCCAAUAUGUAAAAUGACGGUGGUAGUCUAUUUUGGUGGUAAAUUUGGUUGGGAAUAUUUUCUGGAGAGUUUGGGUUUUCACAUUAUCUCUUGGUCUAAGAAGUUUUAUUAUUUGGGCUAUUGAAUGAGUAAUGAAGUUAGGGUCUUUUAGAUUUGUGUAAUGUUUGAACAAUAUUGAUUCAGUUUGAACCAAUAUGUUUUCAUAAUAUUUUUAGGUUUUUUUGGGAGUUUAAUAGCUUGAUAUGUCAUAUUUUGAAAAGUUCUUUGAUAAUAAUAUGUAGAGGUCUUUUAGAAAAUUCUUUAUUCAUAAUGAUUUUUUUUUCAAAACAUUUGUUUGUAAAAUAUUGUGAGGAUUUUUUUGUGUAGUAGUCUAUGAAGAUGCUACUUUUUUUGAGAAACCUCUUAAAGAAAUAUUUCUUUUAAAAUAUAUUUUUAGAGAUUUUGAUUUGUAUAAAACAUCUCUCUAUUUUUUGAAAUCUUGGUUGCUUGAACAACAAUUUGUAUGAGAAGAAUUUCCUCUUUGAUGUAGCAUAGUUCUUUCAUUACUAAAUGACUAAUUUAUUUACUCACUAUUAAUAUCUAAUCCUUUUUUAAUUCAACACUUAUUAAAUAAAUCCAUUAUAAUAUAUUCCUUUAAAAAAAACCUUCCAAAAUCUUUUAUAUAAAAAAAUAAUGUUUUCAUGCUCUAUUCCUUCUAAAACAUAUUCAUAAAAAUAAUAUUAUUUUUUAAUAUUAUUUACCAAAAUGCAUAAAUCAAGUUAUUAAUAUAUUAAGACCUUAUAUAAAUUUCCAAUGUUUUCAGAUUAAUUUAGAUUAAGUAUGUAACUUUCCAUUUAUAUUAAAAAAACAUUAUUUUUUCAUAAAAACAAUAUCAAAUUUGACUUCUUGAAAAAGUCAAUGCAUUCACCUAAUUGCUUAAAAUAUAUAUCAGUGGCUAAAUAGAUAGUAUAUGCCAUUUUUUUAAAAUUGGACAAAUAGGCCAUUUUUUUUAAGAUUGACGGAUAUAGGUCGAUUUUGGAGAGAGAGUGCAUUAGGCGCGCUUUUAUACUUUCUCUUCUCGAUCAUCAGUUUUUAGGGUUAUGGUUUUUUUAGUUUAAGAAUUAGGGUUUUGAGAGUGAAAUAGUAAAAUUUUAUAUGUAGAUUUGAAGGGCCAAAGAUGCGUAAUGCAUCUCAAAAAACAUACAUUUCAUAUGUAAUGUCGGGAUAGGACCAUUACCUCAAAAAUCCAUCUUUUGGAAGUCGAGUUUCGAGGUGACAGUGUUUCAUAUGGUCAUGGGUUGAAUUCUAAAUGGAGGUCCUAAUCGGUGGUCGUUAUGCGGUCACAGGUUUGAGUAUAACUGCGGAUCAAUUGAUGGUCAUUAUGCAGUCACGAGUUCAAGUUUUUUGGAUACUCGCAAAUGGUGCCUUAUAUAUAUCAUACAUAAGAUUGAGGACAUAAUCAUAAGGAAAAACGAAGGGAUUUCCGAUGUAAUCAACAUAAAUUUUUUCUAGUUCCAAACAGUAGGUGUAUUUAAUCUUUCAUUCUUAUCCAAAAGCUAACAACGAGGUGGUGGAGAGCGGAUGUUCUGGCGGAGUAGAGGUUAAACUCUAGUUAACGCGACAGCGAUUGUAGUUAUUAAUAGGUUGUUUAUUAACGACAACUGUUGUUGCCCCGAAAGGAGCAUCACUUUUACUCCAUCAUUACAGUUGUUGCCCGCCUAAAAGUCUUUCUGCGUCCACUAAGGUGCUACCCUUUGGAUAAGAGCGAAGAUUACAAAAAAGCCCCAAAGUUUUUCCCUAUAAUUAUGCCCUCAAACUUUUGUAUCGUAUUUAUAAGGCAACAUCUUCGGAUAUCCAAAAAGUUUGAGCUCCUGCCUGCAUAACGACCAUCAACUAGUUCCCUAGUUAUACUCUGAUCCAUGACCUCAUAUGACUAUCUACUGAGACUCUACGUAGACUUCCAUUCGAGACUGUAUAAAGUAUCGUCAUCCUAAAACCCAACUUUCACAUGACAGGUUUUUGAGGUAAUGGUCUCGUCUCGAUAGGAUUUAUGAAACGUGUGUGUGUUGGAGCGAUAUCGCAUCACCGAUGACUCAAGAAUACUUUAAAUAGGAAUAAUAUUAUCAAAAAAAAAUUUGAACUCUGAAGCAGGGAAGAAAAUAGAGAGAGAAAUAUUAUAAAAUGGAUGGAUGAUGACCGAUAGAAAUGGUAGGUUUAAGGAUGAUGGAAUAUGGACGGAAAGCCUCCUCUUUUAUAGGUGCAAGAGAGGGGUGAGAUUAAAAAGAAAAAACAACUCGUGGUUGAAAAUGUCUUAUAGAAAAGACGUUUUCAUCGAAUAUCUAAAAGAAGUGCCUCAAAUCAUACACGAGAUUACUCAGAUCAGGGCACCUUAGCAGGCUUUGAGUGGUGGUGGACUGUCCACCACCAUUCAAAGCCUACCAAGGUGCCUUGCCCUUGAGAAUCUUGGGUAUGUUUUCAAGCAUAUUGAAGACCCUUUCAAGCGCACGUCUACUGAAAUUGAUUUUGUUGAAAUGCAUUUUCAAGUACAAAAGAACCUUUCAUUAUUAUUAUUCAAUGGAAACGCGUCUUGAAAGGCGCUUUCAAGCACCCCUUCCCUCUCUCAUCGUUCUUUUUUGCUAUUAAACUACUGAAGUAUUCAAUACUUAGACACAAGCAAAUUCAUUCUUUUUUGAAGAGUUGCAUUGCAAAUUCAUUCUUAAACCUAUCCCAAAUAAGAGUAUGUAACCGUCAAUGUUCAGCACCCCAUUCGAGUUGGCACUGAAUAUCAACUUGCGUCACCUCCCAAAAAGUCGUCCGAAUUCUACUCGGAUACGCACCAAUAUAAAUGUUCAAGAGAGAGACAAUUAAUAAAGGUUAUGCGACUAUUGUAGGAACCUAGGGCAUAUUAAGGUAACAUGUCAACAUUUGAGGGGUGUAUUGAGGACAACACGUCGCUAACAUAUUUUUUUUGUAUAGAAAUUGAUUAAAAUGUUUUUUUGGUACAAAAUCUGUUCAUUCUUUUCUAUACCUAACAGAUUGUUUGGUCUUAUUACACUUUUUACUUUCAACUUUCAUAGAAAUUUUGUGAUGGAUAAUAAAAUUAUCCCUUUCACUAUUUUGUUUUCCAUGGUGAAAUAGUGAAUAAGGCUAAAUUAGGUGUAGUAAUUUACCUCUCAAUAUUUAUAAAAUUAUCAUUAAACUUUUUAUAUCAAAUAUUAUAUAUGGAAAAUUACGUACAAUAUAGAUUAGAAUUUAACAAAGACAAUUAUGUGUUGCAGCACAAAUAUAAAAAAAAAUUUAAUCACGUUUUAUUGAUAUCAAUUAUAAUCACAUCAUAAAAAGUAACUGAAAAAUAUAUCAUCGACGCUAUUGUGUUGAAUGUGUGCCACAGGGCAGUGGCUAACGAUUGCAGAUAGGAUUUAUACAUACAACUUGAGGUGUCGGGUCCACUUUUUAGUCAUGAUCCUCGUCUUCAUUUUUACCUCAACCCUCGUAUUCAUCUUUGUCUCCACCCUCAUCUUGGUCUCCAUCUCCUUCUUUCGUGGUUAAGUAUGGUAUCAUCCUAGCCUCCCAUUGUGUGUCCUCUAUUCUAUGAGAAGGUGGUUAUGAUGAUGAGCCACCUUGAUAAACUACGACACGAUGGGUGUUUGUAACUAUUGAUAAAUAACCGUAUGAUGUCACAAAACCCGGUUGCGCGUAAUAUCAGGGAAUCAUUGUUGUUAAAGAAUACGUAGACAUGAUAUCGGCAUUGAUGUUGACAUUAGUGUCAGCAUUUAUGUCGGCAUCAGGGCAUAAUAUGCUCGGGACAGCGGUGCUGCGGAAUACACACUACAAAAGGUGUAGAUGUAGGAUAUUGCGGUGGUGCAUAGUAUGGUCUAUAAUGUGGUGCUUGUGAAAAAUAUAUAGGGUUAGUGAAAGAAACAUGAAUAUAUAGAAGGAACUGAUUGGGAUAUGGCGUAGACAUCGGUGCCCCUUGUUGGGUUGAAGUCGAUGACGAACUCAUUGCGGCACUUGCUCUGGACCUACGAUGCUAGGGCGGUCGUCGUGGUCUCUUCGGACGAAUUUGCCUACUCAUCGCCUCCACAAAUAGUAGAUAUGACUUACCAGUGAGUCUAAAUAAAGGUAUGUACUCCAAAGAGGUCAUCGUGUCUGGUGUGAAAAAGGGUCACAAAUGCGUAUGAAAUUCAAAUGGGUAUGAAAUUCAUCUUGUGAUCCCAAACUUCGAUGUACUCCUUGUGGAAUCCUCGCUAAUUUUCGUCAGUUUUCCCCCACAAAUCAAGCUUGCAAAGUGCUUCAAUGUCUUGUGGUGUCGGGAAAAUUUUUUGCUUCCACCCAAACUGUCUCGUCAUUCAAUCUAAUUCAUGCAUCUCCACCGCUGCAUAAACUCAAUGGCACCUUUAUGCCCAACAUACUCUGAAUGACCAAAAUUUUAGGCAGGAUGUAUUUUAUGAUAUCCAGAUCAACGUAUGACAUCCAAUCAAACUAUAGUACACAAUUAUAAAUUUCAUUAUCUACAAAAUUUUAAAUUCCAAAUCAUUGCAUAAUUAUUAUAAGUUUAAAAAAUUCAAUAACUAACUUUGACUUCGGAGCGUUGAUCUAACAGCAACCGGAUAUAUUCGAGCUGCUCCAGUAGUCCCACAUAAAUUGGCCCAUGGUACCAUUUACUCAAACAAUAUAUUAAUUCAAAAAUAUAAUAAAUAAACAACAUUAACUAUGCUAACUAUAUAUUGUUAUCAAAUGAAUUUUACCUUGUCACCAAUUGGAAUGUAUAAGAGUCGUCCACUUGAGGACGUGAAAAUGGUAGUGGCCACCAUGUCCAUGACUGCAGCAGGAGCAAGCACCUACCAAUUGACAUCUUAUCUUGUUUCGUCGCCCAACACAACUCCUUGUGUAACGUGGCUAACGUGGUUGAUCCUCAACUAAGACAACCACAUUCUUUGAAGUCGACUAGGUGUAGUAGCCACCUUAUGUGUACUAAAUUUCAAGAUUUAUCGGGUAUUAGAAUGCCCUUGAUUAACCUUAGGAUGAAUGCUCGUGCGUAUUAUUCUUUUUCGAUGUCAGUCACAUCCUUAAGAAAGAAUUUGAAAUUAUCUUCCAACCAUUUCAUCUCUAUCCGGCCACCUUGAAACUUGUUCGGCACCUUCCUUAAAAAUGCCUCGCAGAGGUCCUCCUUAUUGGGAACGACCGCUGCCCCUUUAACGAUUAACCCAUCCACUAGUAAACCGAGUUGUAAAGCUACGUCCUAGAGUGUCAUUGUACACUCGAUCUAUGGAAGAUGGUAUGUUUGUUUCUCGGGUCUCUAUCUUUCCACCAAUGCGUUGAUAAGUGUAGGAUCCAAUUUACAAUGCUCAAGCAUACAAGACACGUGUAAGAAUCUCGCAUCUUGCAAAUAACCACGAAUUUCACUGUCUAGGCUCUUUGAUAAAUUGUGUCUGAACCCCUCCAAAACACUAUCAUCCGCCUAUUUAUAUAAAUAAAAUAAAAUAAUUUUAAAAAUUUUAAAACUUUAAAAUUAACUUAAUUGAAAAUAAUGAAACUAAAAAUUUUUCCUUGCCAUUAUCAAUUGAGCGGUACAAAUGUGCUUGUUGUCGAAACGAGUAAAAGAACUCGUCAUUUUUGAAAAUUUAAUCGAAAUGAAUAAUCUACGAUAUAAUAAAAUAAAAUAAUAAUAUUUUUAUACAAAUGUAUUGGAAAAUUUUGAGCAAAUCUUAAAAAAAUUGAGAGAAUUGAGAAUUUAGAGAGAAUAGAGAGAGUUAGAUUUGAAUGAAAAGAAUAAAACAUAACAUAUUUAUAAGAAAUUAAAUUUAUUGUUGGAUUAUUUAAAAAUUUUACUGUUGGCGUGUUUGAAUUUACACAGUUUGGGAAGAUGAUAGUUGGAAGCUGGACUCUCUCCAGAAUCAGCAUAUUUAGCCUAUAUAAUCACCGAAAAUUGACUGCUAUAAUUGUGCAAUUUCAUAAGCAAAAUUACAACACAUACCAAAAACCCUAAAUCUCUUACGAGGAUAAAUAACAGUACUGAGAUUUGUUUAUCUUUAGAUUUUUCAUAUAUGAUAUCGAGUUUGAGUGAUGUCAAUUAUUUACCUCUUCCAUUGUCUUAUGUUUACUUUUAAAUAUAUUACUUUAUAAUGUUAAUUACAUUAUUAUUUACUUUUCGGCUAUGGAAACUUGCUGGGAUUCAAAUCAAACAAACUAACUUCUCAAUUCCUACUUUUCUAUUAGCUGCAUUUUUUUCUUUUACACAAAAUUUUCCUGUUUAAUAUAUAUUUCUUUAUCAGAUUUAAUACCUACUUCAUGGGAAUAUACAAAUAUAUUUAAUAAUAAUUCUUUUUCUUGCAGUUUUUUAAAGAAAUUUUCCUGCAAUUCUCAAAAUUUUAUUUAUUCUAUAAACUGUCAAUGGCUGGAAACUCUGCUUCACAGAACAGAGAGGUUAGAUUCUCAAACUUAGUUCAAUUAUAUAUAACAUGGAUAAAAUUUGAAACGUCUAAUGUUUUGUGUUCUUAUCAAUUUCAAUGAGUGCAACAACAAAAAUUCUAGAAGACAAGAAAAACAAGUAUUCCUUUAUUGACAUAAACAUGCAUGUUUUUAUUCUUAUUUAUUAAAAUUAUUUGAAUUUAUAUAUCUAAUGUAAAAAUUAACGUAUCUUCCGUAUUUGGAGUAUUCCAUGAUCUAUAUUAUUGCAUAAUUUUAAAAAUUGUUAUAUCAUUAUUAAGACAUUUCCGUUUUCACGAACUUAUCUUCUAUGCUUGAGACGAAAGCGGCUAGUAACGUUGACGCAGAUUAUAUUAUACGUCAUGAAAUCUAUUGUUAUAUUUUCAGCAAAUUAACUCUUUGGGUUCAAUUCAUCAUGCUGUUGAUGCUAUAUUAAAAUUAAGCUUCAUCAAAAAUGCCAACACUAAACUUAAGGGAACAUCUAAAUGCACUAAGCAAGAAAUACUCAGUGUAUGCUUAAUGCCCAUUUUAUGGUAAUAAUAUUAGCUAAUAUUUGGCAAUUUGAUUUACAAUUAUAUAUGUUGAUAAUAUUUUAAUAUGAAUUAUAAAAAAUUAAACCGCUUUUAUAAUUAAAUUAUAAUCAGGUUUUAAUAUAUAUAAUGAUAAGAAAACACAUUUUAAACCCUUUAUUUUAAUCGCAUACCAAAAAUUGAAAAAUAAAAAUUUAUAUUAUAUUUACAUUUUUUAAUGAUAAUAUUUUUUUUAAAUUUUAAUAAAUAAAUAGAAUAUAUUUUAAUAUAAACAAUCAUCUGCAGCAAGUUUUAAGAAACAUUUCUUUUU